rnacentral:lncRNA from 1 species
CCAAAUUCAUCUUCUGAAUUCAUAAUUUUUUCUUUCUUUCUAUGUUUUGCGAAUUCGAUUUUCAAUUAAGAAAGUUCCGAUGAGGAAGAAAUCCCCUUAAAGAUAGGAAGUGCCGUAUGACACUUUAAACAGCAGCGGAUCACGGCGGCGCGUCAUCCCAUCCACCAAUUCGCCGGCCUCCGAUCAUUAACACGAUCUUAGAGCUCAGUUCGUUGGUCGGGAUUCGCGUUUUAGCCUCUUCCACUGUGUGUGUGAUUUUGAACGGGUCUCUGAGGUUUUUUUCAUCUACUUUUCUAUCAAAUCAUUUGAUUUUUUCUUCAUAUCUUCUGGUUCGAUGCCACGUCGACGGUAGCCAAAAGUGCAGUGACCGACGAUGCUAUGAUUGAACCUAUAACAGACUUUGUGUCUUUCGCAAUUUUAUAGGAACCUGUGAACUGAUUGUUAUCCGUUCAUUCACAGAGCCGGUUUUUGCGAUUACAUUUUUUUUAAUAAAAAAAAUAUUUUUAAUUGAUUGAUUUUUGAUGAAAUUUGUGUGUUGCCAAUGAGGUAUUAAAUCGUUAUAAGUUGGAAUUACCGACUGAUUUUACAUUGAUGAUACAUCGACUAUCUGAGGCAUUUCAAAUUGUUUUGAAUUUUUUGGAUCUUAAUAUUCAUAUAAAAAAGAUAAAUUGAUCGAUAGUUUGUUUUUUUGGCAUUAAUAUUAUAUGAAUAUUCACAGCAGAUCAUGUUGUAAUUCAUAAGAACAAGGAAUUGCUUUUUAACUAAAAUGUCCGAAUUAGGGUGUAACGUUUUUAAUUAGUUCCACACUAUUAAAAUUUUUUUGGAUGAAAAUAAUUUAUUCAGGUGAUAACUUAUUUUUAUUUUAGAUUUGCUAUGUGGUAGUUGUUUGUGGUUUGUAGAUAGUGAUUUUGAAUUGUUUUGUGUCGAGGCUUGAACAAUGUUGCUUGAUGAUUCUUGAAAGUGCCGAAGUGUAGCUCAAGAGCACGUGUGAAUUUGUAAUUUGUCUUACAGAAGAUUGUUGUUGGCUUAUUCUCCUUGAAAGGAAAAAGAUGAUUCAUUUCGGAAUGUUGAUAUAUGACAUUUUCUGGAAAGUUGAUAGCUGACGUUUGCUUGAGACUUGAGAGGAUUAUGUGUGGUUAAGAAAACUUAGGUGUGAUUUGUGAGGGAUUAAGAAUUAUAAAUCUAUUUGUGAUCCAAAAGAAAAAAAUGACUAAUGGGAUGGGGAUUGCAUCAUCUGUUCCCGAUUAAUUUUAGGUUUAAAGAAAUUAAUUUUUUAGGUUAAAAGAAGUCUAUAAUAUAAUUUUAUAAUUUUUUUUGACAUCCCUAAUUAGUGCAAUGAGAGUAAGAUCCCUGACAACAAAUAGGAAAUAGUAAGGAAAGAUGAUAUUAGAUAUAGCACGGAAAAGGAGAAGAGACUACUUGAGUAGGUAAUGAGAGAAAUUAGAGAGGAUAAAGCGUAGUAUGUAAGAAAAAGAAAGAGAAAGUUUGGAAGAGAAAAGAGCACAAUAUGUAUUGAUGCAUACAAGUAAUUUUGUUGGAAUGUUGACUAAUGGAAUCUUUAACGUAUCCUGGUUACCUGAUAAAAUAAAGUAUGUUGGAAUGUUGACUAAUGGAAUCUUUAAAGUAUCCCGGUUACCUGAUAAUCUCUCGUAUUCGGCUAUAGCAAGAGCCCUAAAUCUAGAGCCGCUUGACAUUCCAAUCUAGUUUCAACAAUGCACUUUUCGGACUGAGAAAGAGGGUUUGCUUGGCGUAAUGAUUCAAAUUUGGAAAUAAAUAACAAAAAAUAUUUUACAAGGAUUCUGUACAUAUAAAAAACGUAGAAAUCUGAUUUAUGAUGAAGAAAGUUAUGACCCGUCGAAAUUUUACGAUCAAACAGACAUGAGUCGAUAAUCGUAAAAAGUGAAUUUUUGAAAACUAUUUUUUAGCCUUUAAACGAAAGCGUACAAUUUUAAUUUUUCUAAGAUUCAUAGCAGUAUACAACUUGGAAAUUGAAUUUCAGAUUGAUCGAUUAUUGACACAAUCUAAACGACAAUUGAAGAUCUUGUUAAUAGAAGCUCAACGAUAUAAAUACAGUCGAAAACGGACGUCAGAUGAUAAAGUUAUGAAUUUUUAACAGAUUUUUAACUGUCUAAGCAUGUUAAAAUAUACCUUUAUAGAUAACGUCAAAACUAGCCGACAGAGUUUAUGUAACAUCCUGAAUUUUAGAAGUAUGAUUUAAAGGUUUAUAGUGUAUAUUCGAAGAAGGAACUCGAUGAGUAGGUACGCUUACUCGUCGAGUCGGAGCGAGUUUGGGUCGCGAAUUAAGUGACCAACUUGCCGAGUCGAAAGCUGGACUCGACGAGUUUGUGCUGGAAUGAGAAAACCCUAAUCUUUGGGUUUGCAUCCUAUUUAAAGGACUUUAUGUCCUUCUCCCAGCCUCCUAAUCCCCCAGAGAGUUCUAGAAAACCCUAAUUUCGUGUGAGACUUCAUUAUUGAGGAGAUUGGAGCUUGGAAGAGGAAUUUGGUGGAAGGAGCUUGAGAAAUUAGGGGCUAGUAUCAAGGGGCUUGUAUGGAUCUGGGAUCUACAUAUGUUUGGACAUAUUUCAGAGGUAAGAAGCCAUAAUCUUAUGCUAAUUUCCAUUUUGGUUCAUCCUUGGUGGUUGAUGUGGAGUUCCUUGGCUUGUUUGAGAUCUAUCUCGAGUUGGAGUUUAGAUCUGAGGUUCCUACUCCAGAUCUAGACUUAUGAUGGCCUAGAAUGUCAUAAAGUUUCAGUCAUUGAGUUGUUGGUGAAGCCCCUUUGUCUAAAACCCAAGCCAUAGUGUGUUUUGGGCCUUUAUCUCCUUGGUUUCACGUAAAGUUUGCAACUUUAUGUGAGGGUUAGAUUGUAGAAUGGUGGAUCUAUGGUUUAGAGCCCCUGCAUGGCUCGAAAAGCCUCUAUAUGGAAUAAGAAAUGGAGAAACUCAGGGAGUCACAUGGGUGUACUCGACGAGUUGUAUGAACAUGUGCAGGGACUCGGCGAGUUGGAAGAACAACUCGGCGAGUCUAUUGAAGAUUGUCUUGGACUCGGCGAGUCUGUUCUUGGACUCGGUGAGUCAGGUCGCAGAACCCCAACCUCUUUUGGUUAAAUCCUUGGAUUAAGUGAGUCGGUCGGCGACUCAUUGAGUUAGACAGGAUGCGACUCAGAGAUUGUUGGACUCGGCGAGUCUUGGGGUGACUCGGCGAGUUAAGUUGUCUUAUGAGAGUUUUUUGGGAAUGGGAACUCGGCGAGUCGACAGGUUGACUCGACGAGUAGAAUCAACCGGGAAGGUUGACUUUGACUGAGGACUUUGACUUUGACCAAUAGUUGACCAGUUUGACUUCAAGGGUAUUUUGGUAAUUCUGGUAUUUAUGGCAUUGGUUCUUUGAUAGUGUUCUGUGGUGAAGUUUGUGUCGGUGGUCGAAGCAGCUUGGUCUUAUCUCUCCAGUCGGCAAUUGCAGGUGAGUUAUCCUCACUAUACCGACAUGGUCUACGACACCAAGGCCGACCCUUUAUCGGAUGGAAAUCCGGGUAUUGUUUGUUAUGUUAUUGCUUUGCUAGAUUUGCAUCCUAGUAUUUAGGAUGGUGUUAUGUUAGUGACCUCGUUAAGGUCGGUACCCGAUAUUUAGGGUAGUGUUAUGUUAUUGACCUGGUUAAGGUCGGUACCCGGUAUAUAGGGUGAUGUUAUGCUAGUAACCGGUUAGGUCGGAAUCCUGGUUAGGAUGUUGAUAUGCUAUGUGAUUUGUUAGACUGUUUGUCUGGUUAAUGAUUUGUUAUGUGAUUAAUUGCUUUAUGUGCACAUGAUUGUUUGACGGGGGUUGGAUUGAGGCGGGUCCUGCUUUGUGUUGUAGGCCAACAUAGCCACGCCGGACCGGAUAUUCCGAAGGCCGAGCGAGCGGUUCGGAUAGGCUGAAGGCCCCAAGAGGGCGGACCAGACGUGCCGAGGCUCGGGGGGUGGGACANUCCAUCUUGUGUGAUGAUUGGACCCAUAGUAGUUAUUGUUGUAUGUAUAGGAUUUGGGCAUUCCAACCCGAUGGUUGUGGACCGAGAGUAUUCCAUCCCGGUAGGAUGAUUGGGCUCGUGUUAUGUAGGCAUACCAACCCGAUGGUUGAGGGCCAGGGGUAUUCCAAUUGGAAGGUUGAUUGGUCCCGUAAUAUGUUGUUCUUUGCUGUAUGCGUAUGUUUAUGUGUGUAUGGGUACUUUGGGGGAACUCACUAAGCUUUCGGGCUUACAGUUGUGGUUUAUUGUUUCAGGUGCUUCAGGAGAUCGUGACAAGGCGAAGGCGUGAUCGUACCGCUCUUCAUGUUUUAUGAUUUAUGUGAUAUGGUUCUGGGGAAUACUCUGGUGUUUAAACUAUUUUGAAAACAAGUGUAUGAACUUAAUGGUUUUUAAAUGAAUUAAAAUGUUUUAAUUUGGCUCGAAUUUUAUGGUCGCUACAGUUUAAACGAAAGUUGUCGAUCACAUCGUUACGUACAUAUGGAUAUAAAGAAUGUAAAAAAACGUAGCUCGUAUGUGAAAGUUACGAAAUUUAGAAGAUAUUUUGUUUUUGGGUUAAGUUCUGGAGGUGACACGUGGCAUAAACUCAGCCCCACCUUCCUCCCCAUGACUUUGCAUAUGAUCUCGACACGUGGCAUGCGUACGCCCAACGUAGCAUGCGUACGCCCAACAUAUAGCAGUACACCCAACGUACAUCAAAAUUACUCCCUGUGUACUCACAAGUUUCAGCCUAUAAAUAGAGGCGCAAAUAAUCUCAUUUCUUUACACCUUUCUAACUUUUUCUUUCCCAAACACCCCAAAACCCUCAAGGUUUUUCCCUAGCACCUCCUAGGUGUUAGUAGCGAGUCCCAGAGCGCCAGACGGUCCCGAGAAGAAGAGCUGGCUCAGAAGUUCUGGUCGCACAGAGUCCGGUUCCUCGCUAAACUCUCUUGUAAGUGAGUUAUGCUUACCCUACUUUCAGUAUAACUUAUUUUUAAGCUCAUUAUCGUUAUUUGAACAUAUAAACAAGAUUUAUCAGUGAUUCUAAAUUGUUAUACUGAUUGAUCUACUUACGGGGAUGAUGUCUAGGUUGUGAUUUAAUGAGGUGUUUAAAGUGAGAUUUCCAAACAGUAUACUUCGUAUACCAAACGGACCAUACCUCCGAUAUGAUCCUACCUGGUUGUUCCUUACUUGAUAGAUCAUGAAAGUAGACUUUGAGUUAAUGAUGAAUCUAGACUAAUAAUUAGUCGCAAUAAAUAUUAGACUAAAAACUUAUUGAUUAGGUUUCGUCGAAGAAAAAAACGAUUGUUAGAAGCGAAGCACUGUCCGAAUUUCGAGUCAUCACUUUAACAAGUGAGUACAUAGUCCCUUUCAUGAACAUCAUUUUAAUACAAGUAUUAAUUAAAGUAUUAAAUAUAUGUUUAUGUGUGAAAUAUUGGAUAUUGCCUGAAAUACGUGUUAAGAACAUAUCUGAUAAUAUAUGAUGAUUUAUGAUACAGAAUAAACCUAAAUUAAUUAAAAAGAAUACCGAGUGGUAUAUUCUUAUGAGUACGGGUGAGAUAUACACGGAGGGUAGAACUUUAAAAAGUGUCAUUAAUCCGAGAGCAUGGAUUAGACAUAUUCAUUCGUCCCUAGUUCGAGAGUAUGAAGUUGGCAUAAUCACGUGUCAUUGAUCUGAGAGCAUGAAUUUGACAUACUUGAUCCGAGAGUAUGAAUUAGGUAAAGCUGUUAAUUUUAUAUUCGAGAGCAUGGAUCGUAUCGUUAUGAGGAUCGACGGGGUAGGGUAAAAAUUGCUUAUAUGAGGUGAAAUUGUAUAUAUUGUGAGUUCUAAAAUAUAUAUGAUAUAAGAUUAUGAGAUUGAAAUCCCUAUGUACUCACCAGGUUUCCCAACCUGACCCACUCAGUUUAUUUCAAUCACAUGUAUCGAUGCGAAAAUACACUACACUAAAAGAUUAAAGGAGAUGUAAAUCAUUAGUGUAAAUGAAUGUAAGGUAUGCUUAUGCUUAUGUUUCUGUAUUGACGAUAACAUCCCAAUGUUUUAAAUAAAAAGACAUUUCUUCGAAAAUGCUUUGAUAACAUCGUUAUCAUGUUUUCUGGAAAUAAAUUCCGCAAUACUACUUUUCAAAAAUGAUACUCUGAUUUUUAAUUAAGCAUAAAUAAAAAUUUUAAAAUGACCGUGAAUGUGGGGAUGUCACAAUCGAGAAGGAUAAAGAGGAGGAGAUUAGAUUAUGAAAAGGAGAAUAGAAAAAUGUAAUAUGGAAAGAUAAAAGAGAAAGAAGAAGAAUACAUAGACAUGAAAAUAGAAAAAAAUAACUUACCAACCAUUAUUGUCUGUGACAUUGUUGUCUACAAUGUCUGAUGUUGUAGAGAUGUUUCAUGUUUUAUAGGUUCAUCUAACAGUCAUGGUACGUGAAAAGAUAGGAGCACAUUGAGUUCGACUAUAUUGCUAAUUUAGUUGUAUUUUACCUUGUUGAUUAUUAAAAUUAUAUGUAUGAUUUUAUUGUAAACUCGAAUGUAACCUGCGAUGUAAAUUGUUUUGAGUUAAUAGAAUUUCGUCUUUUAGUAGAUAAGUUCAUAAGUAUGACAAUUCCUAGUUAAUUAGAUGUAGAAAGUCCAGAUCGUUACAAUUUUACCUUAUUAUCCUUUUGGGGAUGGUCAUGGUUGUUUUAGGUUGCAUUGACUUAUGAUUAUCUCCUUGUUUGCAUCCAUGACCUUGAUUUUGUCUUUGGACUCAACGUAGACCUUAACUUUCACUUAAGGUAUUUGUAAAAUAGGUUUAAAAUGUUUUUUUUAAGUUAAAAAUAUUUAAACCAAAUGAAAACAACAAACCAUUUUUUAAAAUGUAAAUCUUAUAUUUUUCCUAUGGAGAAAAUGUAAUAUCUUGUUUUCAUGUAUUCCAUUUUGACCCUUAGUUUGAGUAUUGUUUGCAAAAUUAGUCCCGAGUGGCAUUUUUGUAGUUUUAUGAGGCUACAUGUGUACGAUGGGCGUACGUGGCCAGGGUACAAACCCUUUUUUUUAGGGUUUGGACCCUAUUUAAACAUCAUUAUAGCCUGAUACUCUUUCUUAACUCCAACCUCCAUCUCCCAUAGCCUCCAUCUCGAAAGCCUAAGUGUGUGAGUGUGUUUUGGAGCUUUGGAGUGUCAUUUUGGUUCUCUUGGUGGUGAAGGAAGACUCUUGGAGUUGUGGUGUUUCACUGAAGUCUUUGGAUCCAACAACUACUCUCCUUUGUGCGUCUUCUGAGGUAUAAAGCUCCAUCCUUGAUGAAUAUUCCUUCAGAUCUUGUUCAGUCUUAGAAGGUUACACCUUUUUGUACCAAAUCUUGAUUCUUGUGAGUAUGGAAUACUACAGGACCUUUAAGUUGUCCUUUAAGAUGUUUUAGGGCAUGAUAAGUCAUUAAAAUGUAAUCUUUAUCCUUAGUUUUCCACCAUGCAUGGUCUAGGUUGUCUUAAUGAGUUAAUAAGUUAGGGUUUUUAGUAUUCAACACUUAAUAGCCAUGCAAGAUCAUAAAGUUGGAAACUUUAUGAUUAAGGACAUCAUUUGAGGAGUACAUUUGGACUUUGGACGAAAAGGAUUAAAUGAUUAAGCUCUUAAUAGAAAGGAAUGAUGGCAGACGCGUAUGUUGUGCGUACGUGGUCAACUCGACGAUUCUAGUCAAUACGUAGUACGCCCCGCGUACGGGUUGAGUACGCCCAACGUACUCAUUGAGUUGACCCGGUUGACUUUUGACUUUGACCUAGGGGUAUUUUGGGUAUUUUGAGCUAUAGUCUGAGUUUUGGUCACUGUUAUUUGUAAAGGUGAUCGGUAGAGUUGGUUUUCAGAGCAACGUGUUGUUUCAUCUUUUGUCCGACUGUGAGGUGAGUUUUUCAUGGUAUCCAUGGGUCGAAGGCACCAAUGCCGACCUAUUAUUGUGUUAUGUAGGAUGAUAGUCGUUGUGUGGCUUCUAUGUGGUUGCAUGUUCGGGUUGAAAUAAACCCCAGGGUGGGACCCACUAUUGUAUGAUUAGGUUGGAAUAUACCCUAAGGCCGGGCCCUAGGGCUAGGCCCAUAUGUGUUGAUCAGUUUGAAAUACACCCCAGGGCCCAUAUAUGUAUAUCGGGUUGGAACACACCCCAUGGUUAAGCCUAGUUGUAUGAUUGGUAUGUGGUACUUUGGGGAACUCACUAAGCUUUGUGCUUACAAUUUAUGUUUAUGGUUUCAGGUACUUCCGGUUCAAAAGGGAAGGACCCGACAUGAUGGCACAACAUCCUCCCCUCGUGAUUUCCACAUUUUGAAUAAUUGAACUAUGCUAUUUUGAUAUUAUAUAUGGUGAUGGUUUUUGAAACAAUUAUUGAAUGAAAUUGUUGGUCUUUCAAAUGAAAAAAAUUAUCACUGUUUUUGAGCUGUUACAAAAAAACUAUAUAUAAAUAAUGUUUUCAAUUGUUGGCUAGUUUAUAUGACUAUUUCAUCUUGAGUAAUAUGAACAAUUUGAAUAAGACUAUCAUGUAGUUGAGACACCUAACACCACCCUUAACGCUAAGGCAAAAGAAUGGCUCAAUCUCAAAUAUUUCUUUCCAACAAUGUUGACGAGACAAUUUAAUUCUGCUGCGGAGAAAAUGUGUUGGGGAAAUUCGAAUUAGGUAUUGAGAAAUCUAGAUAACAAACAGGAAUCGUGUAAAACACUUUCAUUGUUUGAUACUUUGAUCCUAUAUGCAUUGGAUAUCACGAAAUCCAAACUGGGAUAAUUCCUGAUGUAGCAAUUCUAAUUUUAGGCACAAGAUCAGAAUCAAUUUUUUAGAAGAUGAAGAGAGAGUGUUUUUAGUUUCCUAUGGGACCCCUGACCUGACACAGUAGAUUAGGGUUCAAUACUAACAAUGUUUAGUAAAUACAAGUAUGCACUCCCGCACCUCCUAACUUGUAUUAUAACUAAAACAUCAUUCUUGAAACACUUGUUAAGUCCAUUACACUAAAAUACAUUUGGUGAUAAAAUCACCAUCAAAAUGGACAUUAGAAGUAUAAUUGUUUCUAACUUUUGGGUCUUAGAUAUGUAUAUUGAACAAGUCAAGAGGUGUGUCAUUUCAAAUAUGUAUAUUGAACUCCAUAUUACUUCUGUUUCUAACUUUUGGGUCUUAGAUAUAGUAUGUGGUAUUCUAAUUUACCCUAUUUUAUAGGGGAUUAAGAAGAACUAGGAAGUUGAAGCGUGUAGAGUUGAUUUGAUGUCAAUUUGCCUUUGAUUAGUUGAACCUCUCUAUACCUAAGCUUUUUAUUUUCCAUUAGUGUAUAUAUAUAUAUAUAUAUCAAUGCAAAUGUAAGUAAGAAGUUGAAGCAUGUAUAUUCGAUUUGAUGUUAGUUUGUCUUUGAUUAGGGGAACCUCUCCAUUCCUAAGCUUUUAUUUUCCGUUAGUCUCUAUAUAUCAAUCCAAAUGUGAGUAUCACACACGUUGUUUAAUGAGUCUUAAGAGUUUAUAGUAGAAGCAUUAUGAAGUUUAAACAUAUAUCUAUUUGAAAUUCUACACUCCUUGGCUUUAGUUCAUUUUUUCCAGGUAUUUAGAACAACUACGUUUUCAGUAUCAUUUUUCUACGUUGUAAAAACAUAUUGCCUCAUUAGAAUUGUUUUAAGGAAGUAUCAUAGAGUCAUUUUUUCUAUUUCCUUUGGGAUUUGGGUGAAGUUUACUCUUCUCCUUACAUUUAAGAUGGUUAACAUAGUUUUUUCAAAUUGUUUAUAUUAUAAUUUUGGAUGAUCUAGUUAUAUAAACUGGUCAAUGAGUUGAGGAUAUUAGUUACAUAAAUGGUUUUUCAUGGGUGUUACUAAAUUAUAUUUUUUUCCCUUUAAUUAAAAUAUUUUUAACCUUUUCGGAUCAUUUGUUAACUCUUAACAAUUAUUGUUUGUGUUUCAAUAUUUAUUUUUAAGCAAUCAUGUAACAAUUUAAGAUAAACACAACACACAUGUAAACAACAAGAGUAAUUGGUGGUUGUCGAGGCCAACAAAAAUAAAUACCCUAAAUAUUACAAACUAAAAUAGUAUAUAGUGGUAAGGAGAUCGUAUCCAUGGAGAUUAGUUCAAUUAAUAACUCUAUGAAAAUCUUUUUAUAUAAAUACUUGUGAUUUUUUUUUUUUUUUUUGUCUUUUGAGAUAUUUAAAAGAAAACUAGAGACUAGAGUUACACUGAGAUUUAAAAACACAAUUCAACAAAAAGCAAGGUUUAAUAUAAAAUUAAUUAGAGAAAGAUGGUUGACUUAAGGUUUCAUCACUUGAAUAGUUGGUAAAUAUAUCAUUAGAAUUCGAAGUCUAAUACUUGUCUUAAAUCUCCAAUUUGGUUAUAAUAAUCAAAGAAGCUUGAUAUUACCUAGAUUUUUCUUAGUUAUUAAAGUAGCUAAAGAAGCUCAUAACAUAUUUCUUUAGUUAAAGUCAUAAUUUUCAUUAAGCAUGUAAUUAGUGAAAAUUAACUAGCAUUAAGGACCAAAAAGUAACCAAAUCCAAGAGGAAUCAUAAGCUUCCACUACCAUGUUGGAGAAAAUAUUUUUGUGAUUGUGUGAAGUGAUCCAUUACUUAAUCAAGAAAUUAGCCAAUUAAUCACUACAAAUACAUUUAAAUUCAUGAAUAAAAACAUACAAGUAGCAAGAAGAUGUUAAAAUAUAAAACAUUUUCAUAAAGACUCAAGAAGAAGUUCUUGGAGUUCAUUAAAAUUCAACCAAACAUUCAAUCAAAUUCACCAAAGUCAACCAACAUUUGUUUUGCAUAACAUGGCUAAACUCAAGAAACUAAAAUAAAUGUUAGGGGUACCAAGCAUUUAGCAAGAUUCAAGAGUAAAAAUGAAGAUGUUCUUCAAGUCCUUCAAGUUUUUCAAGGCCUUUAAAGUACAGAGAAAAUGCUCCUAAACUCAGAUCCAAAAGUUGUCCCAAAAGCAUCCCACAAACCAUCCCAAAAUAGCAGUAAAAAAUAAAAUCUCGAAAAUGCCCCUGCAGGUCACACAAGCUACGUGAAUUUUAGCCUAUUUAUUGCACGGGACAUGUAAGCUGGUUAGAAAUGGGACUUUUUUAUUUCUUGGAUUUGAAUUGCAUUAGUCCACCAACCCAAGUUUCUCCAAUAGAUGAUAGGUCCAAGAGUCUUCAAAUCUUCAUAAUUUAACAAGUCCAAACAUUCUCUUUUUUUCUUCCAAUCUUCAUUUGAGACCGAACCCAAUUGGUUGUCAACAAAACACUUUCGAAGUAGCCCACAUCCACAUCUCUCCUUAAAUCAAUAGUCCAAUUGUGUCCAUCAAGUGAUCCGGAAAUGCACUACAAGCUUCAUGUUUUAAGAUCCCAUACUCCCAAAACUACUCCACUUUGAAUAGUCUUUAAUAAAUCUCAAAUAAGUUGAAAAGACUAAAAAGUACCCAAUAAAGAUAUAAAAUAACAAAAAUAGAAAAAAUGCAUGAAGAUUAACUAAAAUGAGAUGAAAUGUGCUAAAAUAAACUAUAAAAAAAAAGUAAACAAAAUGAAACUAUUAGUAGCAUUUUCUUUAACCCUAUGCGUUUUUCAUGUUAGUUUAUUAUUGUGUUCUCCUUUUUCAUAUUUGGAACUCACUUCCCGAGUAUUAAUUUGCUCAAACCUCUACAUUCGGUCAUACUCUUGGAAGUAAGUGGUGAUUUAAGACUGUCAUUGAGUAUUAGUAGAUUGUUCAUGCUGAUUGGACAUAACAUAGAGACUACAACUAACACUCCUGAGUACUUAAUGGAUAUUUAAGUAUAGAACAAACCACACUUAGAUAUUACUUCAUGGAUAAAGUCAUAAGUGAUUCUAAGAUGAUAAUGUCUCUUAUUCUUCAAACAGAGAUACAUGAGAUUUUUACUUUCCAACACUAUCCGUAACUUGUAGUAAUAAAGGUAUGUCGAUGUAUGGCAUGAUGAGUAGACGAAAGUUAUGUAUGGUCCCCUCGAUGAUUUGUUGCUGACAUCUAAAGUGUGACGAGCCUUGACUGAAAUUGUUGUGUUCAAUUUAGUAGUAUAAGGUGGUCGUUACAAAUCUUUAUUGGGAAACAUAAUCAUGAACAUUCGGAUUGACCCUUAUCCAUGUUUAAGGUUUAGACAAUAUCUUGUGAACAAAUGAAUAUAUGAUCACUUAUUUAAGGGCUGAAUCUUAGUUUGAUCAAAGUUUUAUAGUUUCAUUGGAUGGCAUAGUCUAUGUUGAUUAUUUGAGAAGUAUUAGACCUCAUAUAGUUGAUGACUUGUCUAAGUGGGAGACUGUUGGAAAUAGUGUCAAAUAUGAUAACUAUUAAUGAUAUUUCUAAUAAUAACAAAGUCCUUUUGGGUUGCUCUUAAGACCCAUUUAAGUAAUUAAAAGACAAAGUUUUGGGAGAAAUUAGUUUAUUAAUUUGUUAUGUUAUGAUAAAUUAACUAGAAACUAUUUUGGAACAUUCUAGAAAGAUAGGGAUAAGGGACAAAAUUUGAUAAGCCCUAUCAAGGUUUUGGAGUUGCUUUGGCAGUAAGCAAAUGAGAGCCUAUAAAUAAGGAGCUAGAGAUCAAACCCUAGUUACCCAUUCUUACUCCUAGAUUUCGUCCUCCUUUUCCUCCCUCCCAGGUAACGCAAAAUAACCCUUCUAAGGUUUUGUUUUGGCGAUUUUACCUCCCAUCUCCUAGGAUUUGUUGUUUUGCUCUCAUAGUGUUCUUGGGUGUGAUGUCGUUAGAAUGAUUCUAUUAUGGGCCCUCUCAUCCAAGAAAAUGUGGUAAGAACUCGAUCUCAAGCAAGGAGAUCUCUAGCUUCAAAAGAGGUAUGUAAUUUUUAUUACUUUAGUAGUUGCACUAAUAGAAUGAACUUAGAUCCUUAUAUAUUGCAUGAAAACAUAAAAAUUGUUAUAAUAUUCUCAUGCUUAUAAACUUGUGUUAGUAUGCCUAAACUUAUCACAAUUUCAGAAUGGGCCAUCCAAACCAAAUAAAAACAAUUUUUUCUGACAAAAAAAUAAACUUCAAACACAUUCAGGUUUCAAAUUAAAAUUCCGAAGUUCAGAAAAAAUAAAAAAAAAAACUUCAGAAUUUCGAAAACAAGUCUGAAAUCUGAUGAAUAAUUCCGGAAUGAUAAGAAAAAAAUUCCGUUUUUUAUUAAAUCUAAUAAAAAAUUAAACAAACACAAUAAAUGAGAACCAUAUACAAUAUUAUGAAUCAAACAUUGAUUGAAAAAAAAUACUAAUAUUAUUUUCGAAAUGAAUAUUUUGGACAUAAGUAGAUAGAUUUCUUUGAUUUUUUUUCUUAAGACAAAAAGAAUUUCAGAAUUUGAAAAACAGUCCAAAUGAGAUAUUAAAAAAAAAAAAAAAAAAAUUAUUUUAUUUAAAUAUGGCUAUUUAAAAUGGUUAAUGUAAUGAAUUUGCUAUUAUUAAGGAAAAAAAAAACGCUGCUAGAUACAGUCCCAACGUUGACACAGGCUCACUUUAAACACUACAAUUUCUCGGGUUAUAUUUACUUGUCCGAGGUUCUUGAUUUUUCCAUCAAGGACCAUUUUAGAAACGCAAUUUCAGAAAGGAAAAAAGAUCAAAAAACUAAACGCAACCCGUUUUCUGGAAUCAAACGCCAUCACCUAAAAUCUCACACUUUCAUCUUGAAACCCACUAAUAAGCUUCGAUUCUUUGCAGAGGGUAACGUAAAUCACUAUGCAGGGUUUAAAGAAGGGUUCCUCUCUUACAAGGCCUUUCUCAAUUCAUCAUAUCAAACGAAUGUUUUCGAAUUCAUUGUCCGCUCUUGAAGAUACUUUCUUAUCAACCAAGGUAUUUUAAAUGAUUCUGGUUUUCAUCCAAUUUCGUCGUUUGUGAUUACGCAGCAAUUAGGGCUUCUUACCUAUAUCUCCCCUCUUUUUUCCCCUUUCAUUGAUGAUCUUCAUUUUGAUAGGAUACAUAUGAGAGGCAUAAAGUUGUGUUUACAUUACUAACUUCCAUAGCAUCUAUUGGCACUGCUUGGACUGGUAUGUUUAGCUUACUUUACUUCAAUGUCGAAUUGAUCGACCUAUAUUCAUAACUUUUUCUGGAAGAAAUCUCCUGACUACAUCUGUGUCAUACUAAAUGUUAUAAAUAGCAUACUUUUGUUCCUGAAAUUGAAGAAGAAUCCAUAAGAAUACGAGAAUUAGGUUUAAGUAUAUGGAUUUGUGUAAGUUUUGCGACAUCAAACACCAUAAAAUUAACUCGAAUUACAGAAUAAGAUGCUUCUAUAAUCACUAGAUUAUGUUUGUAUCAAAUUUAACUUAAAAAUGUGAAUUUUUUUUUCAGGCUAUACGCUACGCCACCUUCAUGAAACAAAAGUUGAACAAAGGCUUGACUCAAUCGAAAAUGCUGUUAGUAUUAACAAUAAAAUUGAAACAAUGUAUAAAAUAUAUAAAAUAUAAUAAUAAGAUAGUGUUUAUACUUUAUACGUUUUUUUGUAGAUGAAAAGAAAUUAUGACCUUGAUGGAAAGGAAUUCAAAAAGAUGGUUGGAAACGGUAAUUCCAAUGCUGCAGCUUGUGUGGCCACAUCAGGUGUCACUUUGGUAAUCGGGUUUGUAAAAUAGUCUUUCUUCAAAACUUUUGUUGUUUUUAUAAAAUUUACCACAUCACACCUUGUAAUUGAACGAAAUUACGAAAAUAGUCCCUGUGGUUUUUUCAGGUAUGGGUUGGGUUGGAGAGGUGGGAGGUGGUAUGCAAACCGUAAAUUCAAAAGGGAACAGAUGAAGCUUUUGGGUCAAGUUAAACCAAAGAAAUGGCAAUUGAAGAAAAUUUUGGGUCGAUUGAGGAAGUCAAAUACUGCGGUCAAAGCAUCAGUCAAAGCAUCGGAAAGCGCGAUUCCGGUUGCACAUAAUGCUGCUUGAAAAGGGAAUGAUCAAUGAUGUAGAUUCAAGUGGAAUGGAAUCAGUUUUGAGAUAGAUAUACAUUUUUAGAGAGAGGUGAUAUAGUGUGGAGUUUUAUUACUACUAUUAACCUUGAAAUAAAGGUUUUAAUUUGUUUACACAAUUUCUUUAUGAAAUUAAUUGAUAUAGAAAAAAAAAAUCCUAAAUUUAUCAACUUCGGGUUUCCUUCUCUUUAAUGUUUGUUUUUUUGUCAGUUUUUAUUACAUAUAUAAAGAAGGAUAAACGAUAAUAAUAUACACAAAAUACAAGAUGGUAGAUGACUUUUUUUUUUUUUUAAAUUUGUGGGCCUUAACAAAUUGCAAUUGAAGGUUUUAGUAGAAUUAAAAUGCUAGCUUUUGUUGUUUAGUGAACAUUUGAAAAUUGAAAACAAAUAAAUAAAUAAAUAAAAAGUGUUAUCAGAGUUGAAAAAAGAGCAAGAGAAAAUCAUGGUAAUAUUUAUAGAAUGCUAAUUUCUCACUGGUAAAAAUAAAAAUUCCGACUAUAAAAAAACACAGAUGACAGAUGACAUAAUCAGAGAAAUUUUCCUUUGAUUAUAGUACAACAUGAGGGGUAUAUACAAUGGAGCAAAAAAAAAAAAAAAAAAAAAAANAAAUUAAAAAAAAAAAAAAAAAAAACAAACUAAAAUGUUAUAUUUUCCAUUCUCCACAAGCAUUCUUUCCGUAGGGGCGAAUCCGUAAAUAUGGCUCUGAUAAAAUCCCUCAUCUGCAACAUAUAUACAAAUAAUAAUAACUAAAUAAAAAUUGAAAGGUUUAGUUUAUAAGUGUUAUUAAGUAAAAGAUUUAAUAAUAAUAAUAAUAAUAAUAAUAAUAAUAGUAAUAAUAAUAAUACCUCAGAUGAAGUAUAACCACACUUUGCCAGCUCACCACUUUCCCAUGAUGCAGUAAUGGACUUCAAAGGCAUGUCCAACAUAUCUGUUCAUAUUUUUUAAAAUGAUAAUAUAAAAUCAUUAACUCCAAUUUGGUUGGAAUUGGAUGGAAUGGAAUGGAAUAAGUAGUUACAUUCCAUGAUCAUGUUAUUGGAAUGGAUUUUUUUAUUGUUAUAUUGAUUUCCAAUAUAUAUAAGUUUUAACUCUGCUUUUUAAGGAUAUUAGUUAUAAUUAAUAAAUUUUUAUUCCUUGCUAAAACCCAAAUAAGAUUUAUAACAAAAAAGUAUAUUAUAUUUUCUAGUUUUUUUUUUAGAGAAUAAAAUUGCUAUUUGAUUAAAACCAUGAUUUUUUUUUUCAGACAUUACAAAUUAAAUAAAUACAAAGUUGGGUUAUAUUGUGAAAUUUCAUUCCGUUCCACUUAAUUCCAUGAUGGGAAUGAAAAACAAAAGCGGAUUGACUCCAUUGGAAUGAACAAUUCCAUUCCGUCUCAGAUUUCAUCACAAACACUAGCUAAAGUAAAAGAUGCCUAGUGACACCAAUUUAAAUAAUUAAAAAAAAAAAAAAAAAACAUACCUGCUAAUAUCCGUAGUCUAGGGAGUGAUGGAAUUAGAUCAUUAAUAGAGCCUGAUGACUUCUCUUGUGGCUUUGUUGUUUGAUUGAUGGCAAUCAAAGAUUCCAUUAAAGAAGAAAGGUUUUCCAGCAGCAUAUGAAUCAACCUUUGAAGCUGAAAAAAACAAUAACGUAUUUAUGUGGAAGGAAUGGAAUCUGUGAAUGGAGUUGAACUCCAGGGGAAUCGGAAUCGGAAGAAAUUGUAAUCAAACAUCAACUCCAAACAAAUCUAACAAGAACCAAAACUCCGUCCAUUUGGCAUACAAACACGACACAGAAUGGAAUCACCGAUUCCGAUUCCGUCGGAAUCACGGAUUCCGAUCACACUCUAAUAGAUAUUACAAAGAAAGGUUUUACAAAAUGAACCUGUAAUGUUUCUUCAGCUGCAAUGUCAUCUAACAUGAGUAUAUCUUUUGUCAUUCUAGAACAAACAGCCUCCACAACACUACACAUACUUCCUUUGUAUGUCAAAGGAAGCAAAAGUGGCUCCCAUAUUAUGUGAACUUUCUCCAGUAUAAAAGCCACCUGAUCAAUACUAAAUUUUGCAGAUUCACAUCUUUUUGGUUGAUGCGUAUUUUGAAAUCCAUCAGCCCCAUCAAUCGCCUAAAAAAUUCAAAUUUUAUUAUUUAAGAGCAAAAAAAAAAAAAAAAACAAGAUUUGAAUUUGAAUUUUGAAAGAUAAAAAUAAAUUUACCUCCAUUAAAUUAUGUUUAACAAGCUGUAUCUGUCUUUGUAAUAUCUCUUCUGCCAUAAUCUUGUAUCUUACACCCAAAUCAAUAAACACAGCUCCCUUCAUGGAAAUUGGGAAAUCCGACUUAUACUGAAAUAAUAAAAUGGAAAUAUAUUUAUUUACCACUUCAAAAAAUAAUAAGUUAAACAAAAUUAAGUUAUCUUUAUUUAAUAAUCAUACCUCAAAAGCAAGGCCAAGAAUCUCUUGUGAAAGAUAAAGACAAUCAUUAUGAAUAAGAACAGCAACCUGGUUGAUUCCAUCCAGCUGUCUUUCUAACUUCAUAACACAAAAUGAAAUAUUAUAAGGCCAAAAUAAUACCAUAAAUACACACAUUUUCAUUUUCUUCAAAAUAAUUACAAACCUUGACUGGAAUAACAGCUUCAUAAAGAAGUAGAGCAUCCCUAGCAGCAUGGUAGAAUUCUAAAGCCACUGUUGCAGAUGAUAAACAAACAUCCUGCACAUAAUACACCAAUGUACUUUUGAGAGAAAACUGAAAAAGUAACUUUUUUUUUAUAUAUAUAUUAUUCAACUAAGUAAUAUUUUAUUUAACCUUUAGUGUUUCAUGGACAACUUCCAUUAAACGAGAAGCUGCUUCAGAAAUGACACAUUUUUCAGAGGAAAAAAGUAAGUCUGUGUUUCCACCAUUUUUAAGCUCUGUAUUUUUCCUUGAAUAGUCCUGUGAAAGAACUGUCAUUCAAUCAAUGUUUAUACAGUUGAUGAAGAACAGAAAAGGGUGUAUGGAAAAAGUUUAGGGAGCUUACUUUAGGAAGAUUAAAAUCUGAAUGUAGAAGAAGGUCUCUUGCUGAUGCUAAAAUCUCAAUCUUUUUCCUCAUUGCAAAGUGAACUUCAACAUUGUCAGCAAAAUUAGUCAACCUUUCAUCUUUCCCAGGGGAGAUGAACAUAACUUGUUUAAGAGAUGCCUCAAAGUCAGAUGUGAGUUGUCUUGUUGUUUGAAAGUCAGCAAGUUUGGAAGCAUCAGUGGGAACAAUCUAGCAUCACAUAAUGCAAAUCAAUUAUCUAACAUAUGAUGGUUUUGUUGUUUAAGAAGAAAUAUAAAAAGUAGUCAAUUAGAUUGAUUCUUAUGAGUUGUGAAAAGUCAUAACAUUUAUGUAAAAAGGAACGAACCUUGGAAAGGAAAUUAGAGAUAAUCAAUUCUGACAUUCGGGGCCAUGUUAAUCUUCCAAAGUAUCGCAUCCAGGAAGAAUCUUGAAAGCAGAUAAAGUUGAAAAUGAAUUGAAUCACAACAUUAAUUCCAGAAUAGAUAGUUUCAGCAUCCAUGUUCUCAAUCUGCAUGCAUAAAGGAUUAAGACACUAUAAGAAGUUAAUCUAAUAAUACUUUUUGUUAUUAGUGUUAUGCAUAAGAUAAAUAAAGAAAUGAAAUAUCCAAUGCCACUUUAUAAAUACCUGAGAAUCAGAAGGUGGGGUUAUUCUCAAAACUACCUCAGCUAUAUAUCCUGAAUCUAGUCUUUUUUCUUCUACAGAAAAACUAUGAGAACCAGAGCGCACUGCAGGUGCUAUCACAUGUCUGGUCAUCAUGUCUGCUACUUUUGCAAGCCCAUAAUCUAGAAUACCAACUACCUGCACAAGAAAAGAGAAGAAGAAAGCCUUUCAAUUUCAACUUGAUCUGCAUAUGAUGAUUAGAAAGAGAGGAACUCAAAAAUUUCUUUCUCUGUUGUUAUCAGAGGUUAAUUAACCCAAAGUUUUAGUAGAAUCAAUAUGCUUAUAAGAACUUAUCUUAUGAUUGUUCACCAACAAAAUCAAAUAAAGAGGAGAAGCUGAAAGCAUUUAAACUUACAUGCAUUGCUUUCACAACAGUACAAAGCUCAACCCCUUGAUUGUCAUUCAUAGCCAUUCUAUUUUUGACAUAAACUACAUUGGACUGCUGAUCGAAUCUCACUGCAUUCUCCAUGAACUUCACUAGCACAUUUUGUAUCUACAAACGCAAAUUCAGCUCCGGUUAACACACCACGAACUCAAGAAAGGCAAAUACUCAAUUAUGUCAUAAUUCUUAAAGAUAAUCAUCAUCUAACAUCAUAUGUUGCGAAAUAAGGAAACGUAUUGUGCCAAAUAAACGUCAGGAUUUAUCAAUUCAGUUUUUUUUCUAGCUCUACACAUGAAAAAUAAUACAAUUUCUACCUCUUCGAAGCAAUCUGUCCAUUUCUUCCUUAACAAACCAAAUACCAAUGGCUCUCUUUCUUCCCGGAGAUCCUCCACAUUAUCUCUAACUCGUAAAGCCACUUUCAAGUCUGUAAGAGCCUCUGCAGCCUCAACGACCUUUCCCGCCAUCAAAUCACUCUCCACAACACUCAACUCUUGGCUCAAUUUCAACACUACCUUAACUAAAUCUAGCGCUUCCUUCUUCUCUUUCGAUUCAACACGUUUCCUCCUAAUCUCAUCGACUGUUUCUUUGAUUUUCAGAUCGAUCGGUUGAAGAUUCGAUGAUAACAGACCAACAAGGUUAGAUACUUGAUCGGAUAGUUGCUCGGAAUUAAUAACAGCGUCGGAGCAGCGAGAGAAUAGGGCAGAGAAGUCAUCAUUGUUAGCGAGUAUGUAAUUGUGGACUUUGGACUUAAUGUCGAGUGAACGGACUUGGAGACGGUCGAUGAGGAGGCGGAGAUCGGGGGCGGAGAGCGGUGAAGAGUCGUCUAGAUCAUGUGACGAUAACAAAUCCCGGACGUCGAUUGAAUUGAAGAGUACAUCCAUCUGGAGGAGCACAGUGGUUCCCCGACGGGUGCCGGUGGUGUUGGUAGAAGGUUGUCUUUGCGUGGAGAUCAGGAAAGCAUACAAGUGUAGAAUUAGAGCCCAACCAAUUGGGCUUUUGUUAGUGGUAAUGGGCUGUAAGUAUUUAUAUUUGUUGAUUUAAAACUUAAAUUAGUGUAAUUUUAUAUAUCUUAUCUUAUAUUAUAUUAUAGGAAAUUGCGUAAGAUGGUUAACUAUCGGAUAGCAACACUCGCUCCAACACACAACUCUUUCUCCAUCAUCACUACAUGUAAUAUGGUGCGGGGAAAAUAUAUCCAACAAACGUUAAAUGACCGUUUUAACAUACAUAUUUCAUACGAGCAAACAUGAAGUGCACAAAUGUACGCUUUGAAUUUGUUGAGAAAUAUCCUUAAAGAAAGCUUUCAAAGACUUUUUUUGUAUUAUUACAAGUUGGAGAGGAAGAAUCCAAGGACUGUUACACAUAUAAAGAUAUGACAUGACAACAAAUUUUAAUAUUUUUUCCGUCGCUAUCGGUUGCGUGAUAAUAUUUCUUAUAUAAUCUAUUAAAUAUACGUGUAUUGGAUUGUAUGACUAAUCUAUUGAAUUAUUGUGUAGGUUUGAGCAUUUCAAAUAUGUUUAUGUCCUAUUAUUAUCAUUAACAGAACAUAUCUUAAAGGAAAAUACUUGGACAAUGUUCCUAGCAGUAGUCAUGGACAGUAAUAACUAAAUCCUCCCAAUAGCAUUUGGUGUUGGAAAAACUGAAAGUGGGGAUUCAUGGAUAUGAUUUAUAUCAAGACUCAAAGAAUGUAUUUAGGACAUGGAGCCUUUAGUUAUCAUAUCUGAUAGAGCCAAUUCCAUUGAAAUGAUAAAUCGUGUUUCCGAACACAAAUAACAGACUAUACUGUUGCCAUUUAUUGAUGAAUAUGAGAACAAAGAUCGGUAUAGUCAUCUUGGAAUCUCAUUCUUGUACAUGUGGGAAAUGGAAAUUGUCUGGUAUACCUUGUUCUUAUGCUAUGGCAAUAUUUAGGUAGUAUUUGGUACGCAGAACAAAAUUGGACUGAACUAAACAACACCUGUUCAAAUGAUGUUUGGCAUGGAUUGAACAAAAAGUCAAUGGGACAAAAACUUUGGUCAAUGAGACUAAAAUUGGUAAAUUUAGUCCCACCCAAAAAGUGGAACUGAGUGGGACAAAACAAAAUAUCCUUACUAAAACUAAAAUGCACUCUUCUUCUGUUCUCUUCUACCGUUCUUGUGCAAAUCCUUAAGAUCGAUAAUUUCACCCAUUGCCUCUUUCAAUCAAUCCCUUGUUGGUUGUACAUAUAAAUUUUCUUUCAACUCACCCUGUAUAAUUUAGACUUCUUCUUGGUCGUGAUUUACAUGAUUUUGGAUCCUUCAUUCUCUCUUCAAAAUCCAACAUCUUCUCGGCACAUGCUCUAUCCACAAGUUCACCUGGUACAUAAGAGAGCUGUUAAUCCAUCAAUUUCUUUCUAGGAAAUCUCGAAGCAUUUCUUUUCCCUCGAAUUUUCGUGCUUAAUUGUUCUAGAAAGUGGAUACUUGAUUGGAAUCUAUUCCAAAGGGAGAUGAUGUCCUAAAUUUAGAUUUAAGUUUUAAAAAGGGAAAGUAAGUUUUUAGAAGUAAAUAUGUUAAGAUGAAAAAGAAAGACGAUUUGUUUUUUUUUUUUUUUUUUUUUAAAAAUUUUCCAGUCACCUACUUAAUUCACACAUUGUUUUGUGAUUUAUUGAUAAAAUCACAGUAGCUUCUGCAAUUUGUUGUUAAAUCAUUCACACGUGUUGCAAUUGUAUGGUAUUUUUUUUCUUUCAAUUUGGGAUGUGGUGUUUUAUUGACAACUCACUCUUGUUUAAUAUAAACAUUUUAUAUAUUAUAGUUCACAGUUUGAUAUAUAUUUUUCUUUGAAUAAAGGUUUUAUUGGAUUUAUUUUAUCUUUGAUUGAAACAAUUCAAUGAAACAUUCAUGUUGAAUUAGCAAAGGAACAAACCCCACAUAAAAGUCACGAUUGAAACUUUUAUCAGCUUAAAUUUGGUUUUAUUUAAAUCAAGGGCAAUAUGAUAAUUUUAAUAUCUUUGUUCUGUUCUGUUAUAGUUUUACCAAAUGUUAUGUGGACUAUUUAUUAUGUUCGGUUCCAGUUCUCUCCCGUCCAGUCUACUUUUGUCCCACUACCAAACACUGCCUUAAGGAACUGAGAUAUGAGAUAUAAACACUGGUGUUUAAUUAUUAUACUAGUUUUUUUAGAGUAAAUUACACGAAUGGUCCCUAUGGUUUGGGGUAAUUUGCAUGUUUGGUCCCUAACUUAUUUUUUUAACUCGGAAGGUCCCUAUGGUUUGUUUUUGUUACGCGUUUGGUCCCUACUGUUUAUUUUUGUUACGCGUUUAGUCCCUGUAUUAUCUAAAAAGACUAUUAUUUAAAGAGAAAAAAAAUGAUGGGGUAGGUGAGGUAAUGUGAGGGGGUGGGAUUAGGGGUGUGUUUAUUUAAAUAAAUUAAAAAAAUCAAGGGCAUAAUAGUCUUUUUAGGUAAGAUAGGGGCCAACCGCGUAAUAAAAACAAACAGUAGGGACCUUCCGAGUUAAAAAAAUAAGUUAGGGACCAAACAUGCAAAUUACCCUAAACCAUAGGGACCAUUCGUGUAAUUUACUCUUUUUUUUAAUUAUAAUGUAAAGACCCAAAUUUUUUAAAAGAAAAUUUUCAUUUUUAAUUAGUCAAACACAUUUGCAUAAACCAUGAAACCCCAAACAUUGUUUUCAAAUCCACAUUCAUUACAACUUUAUUUAAAAACAUUAGUGUCCCGUAACGUAUCAAUGAGAGAGAGAGAGAGUGUGCACGUCGUGCCAUCACGCGUUGCCUUUGCUCUUGGGAUCUGAAGUACCUGAAACAAAUCCACAACCUGUAAGCUAAAUGCUUAAUGAGUCCCCAGAGCAUACCCACACAUAAACCACAUACAAGAUAGCAUACUAGCUAUCACAUAAAUCAUGCAUACAACAUAUAAAGAAGCCCUGGAAACCCUCUCGGGUCUUACAACUAGUGUCAUGGGAACCCUCACGUGGUCUUAGUCUACUGCUACGGGAACCCCCGGGGUCUUCCAUACAAAUUUCAUACUAACAUAACACAUCAUCAAUCGACAAUCCACAUAUCAUAGAAUGGGUCGGCCUUGGUGCCUUAGACCCAUUGGUAUGGUGAGGAGACUCACCUCUCGAAAGUUGAACUAGUAAGAUGAAGUCAAAUAUAUACCACACACUGCUCCUUCUCAAUUACCUAUAAUCAUCAAGUGAUUAACUUAACACCAUCCCAUAAAUAUUCUCAGAUCAACCCUGGUCAAAGUCAAGGUCAAGGUCAAAGUACACAGUCUAGGUCAACAGUCCAUGUUGACCUCGACUCGUCGAGUAUAACCAACCACUCAUUGAGUUCCUUGCUUAACUCGUCAAUCGAGUUCCUUAAUGUCCGCGACUUCAAACUCUCAACCACAAACCCCUGGCCGUAAACUCUUUGGCCAUAAACUCCUUGGCCGCAAACUCAUUGGCCGUAAACUCCUUGGCCAACUCGUCGAGUCGAUUAAAGGACUCGACGAGUUCCUUUAGUGCUUCUCGUUUUCGGCAUUUUCUAGUGGAACCUAGAGUCCCAAACUUCAAAUCUAGCCUUCCCUAGUGUAGAUGUCACGUAAAGUUGUAAAAUUUAUGUGCAUGCAAGGCCUCACAUGGACAUGACACCAAAACUAGUCUUCAUAUAAGGUUUUAAUGCACGGAAAGGGAUUGAAUUACCUAAAGGAAACAACUUUAUGUCAUUGGGACCUAAAGAGGUCCAGAUCUGUAACCAUGUCCUUGUGAAAGGUUGAGAUCUGAGUUUUGACCCCAUUUUGCACCAAAAAUGGUCAUUUAUUACAAAAAGAAGAGAACCAAGCAACUAGAUAUCAAGAUGGCGACUUUUUACCUUAGGAUGAUGGCCAAUACAGAGUAACUUCCAAAUCUACUGCUCCUCACGUUGUUCCUUCCUCUUCCAACUCUAGGAUCCUUCAAAAAUGCCCUAAAAUCACUCACAAACGCUCUUACUCUCACUCAAGGGUGUUUACAGUCGAAAACUACUUUCUGUAGGGAGAUAAGGUGCUAGAGGAGGCCACAAGGGUAGUUAAUGAUCCUUGUAUAGGGGGAAAACCCCGAAAUUAGGGUUUUCCCUUUACAUCCAACUCGCUGAGUCGGGCCUUCCGACUCGUCGAGUUUAAAUGCCCCUACUCGAUGAGUUGGACUCCCAACUCACCGAGUCUAUGCACCAAAAACCCUAAAUUUAACUAAAACAAAUAAUACCUGGAACAUGUGUUCAAAGUCGCCCCCACUUAAACUAGACUUCGUCCUCAAAGUCUGCUGACCCAAACAAAUCUAGGUAGUGCUCUCGCAUUUCCUCUUCCAGCUCCGAAGUCCAUUCGGAGCCCCUUCGAUGAUGCCAUUGCAACUUUAUCAGUCUUACUUCCUUAUUCCGAAGAACCUUGGUCUUCAUAUCAAGGAUCGCAAUGGGCUUCUCGAUAUAGUUCAGGCUCUCAUCCACUUGAAUAUCGCCCAAUGAAAUAACUACGGACUCGCCAAUGACACACUUCUGAAGAUGUGACACGUGGAAGGUAUUGUGAAUCUGACUAAGCUCCUCUCACAGAUCCAAGCGAUAUGCCACCUUGCCCACCCGGGCCGUGAUCCUGAACAGGCCUAUGAACCGAGGCCCCAGCUUGCCCCUCUUGUACCACCCAUAAAAUUAGUGCUAAUCUAAAAAUUUUAAAUCAUUUAAAAUCAUUCAAUUAUUACUAUUAGUUUUCAAAAUAGUUUAAACAUCAGAGUUCCCAAAAAUCAUAAUCAUCGAUAGAGGAAGUGUACGGUCACACCUUCGCUUCCCUGCGGUCAUCCGCUGAACUUGAAACAAUAAACUAAAACUGUAAGACCGAAAACUUAGUGAGUUACUGUCACAACUGGCAUUUUGCUAGGAAAUUCUAUUCCCAUAUAAACAUCAUCCAUUGUAAAAGGCUAUACUUACUAAACUCUAUUCUCAUUCAAAUACAUCUCAUAUGUUCAACUAAGGGAUGGAAACCCUAGAAAUCCCGACUCAAAUUCAUUAUGGACUAGGAUUCUUUUAUUGGGCCUAAGGGACCAAUAAGUCAUCAACUCAUCAAUCUAUAACAUUUUGGGCCAUUUGGGCCUAGAAUGAUUCAUUCUACCUCUAAAUGGGCCUUAUUGGUCCAUAACAACUCCAAUUAACCUUAAUGGACUUUAGAACCCAUUCUUUUAUACUAUUGGGCCGUGAGAUACCCUAAAGGCCCAAUGGGUCGAAAGAUGUUAUGAUUAGGCUCCAAAAAUCCUAACUAAAGUUUAAUGGGCUCAAGCUAUUCCAAUUCCUAUCUUAUUGGCCCAAAAUUUCGGCCCAACACCAUUUAACAAAAAAAAGGAAAACAAAAUGAAAUAGGGGUUGACUUUUGGAUGUGCCACCUCAAUAUUGCAUGGUGGUCAUCCAUGCCAAAUACCCACCAUGCAAACUUAUCAAAUAUCUCUAUUAUAUUCUCUCUAUUCACGGCCAAACACUCAUCCCACCAUCCUCAUUUUUCUUUUAAACACUCUCAUACACUCUCAAGAACAUCCUUUCCUUCCACCCAAAAUUUCGAAGAUCUAGGGUGUUUUCAAGAGAAUUCUUCACCAAAAUCAUCAUCCUUGGUAAGUUUUUGCUUAGAUCCAUGGUCUAGUCUCUUGAUUACUUCAAAAAUCUCCUCUUAACUCAUGAAAUUUCGUGAUCUUGCAUCUUGGAACCCAUCUAAGCUCAAAAACCUCUCAAGAAGCUUGCUAGGGCCAAGAAUCACAUCAUCUUCUUCCAUUUCUUCUUCAAACCAAGAACAACAAAGCAAGGUGAGUUCAUACCCCCUUGUUUUCGGUUUUUACUUGUUUUUGGGGGAGAAUACAANCAAGGUGAGUUCAUACCCCUUGUUUUCUGUUUUUAUAUGAUUUUUGGGGGAGAAUACAAGUUGAUUUGUGUAGAUCUAUGUGUAUAUGCAUGACUAUGUGUGUUUUCCAUGAAUUAUUUGGUGAUUAUGUGUUGAUUUCUUCACUAAUCUAAAAAUAUGUUAAGAAACUUGAAGUUUAUCACUAGGAUCUUCAUAUGAAUCUUGAGAAAAGUAUGUUUUAUCACAAGUAUUACAUGUAAACAUGUAGAUCUGGGAUUUGUAUACUUGAUAUAGCAAAAAUAAGUGUUGUGUUCAAAGAUCUAUAAACUAAACUCACAAAACAGCCCUUGACAGAAAACUUUUGGUCCAAUCUCGGACUGUUUUGACCAUCCAAAUGGAAGUAUUUUUCAAAAAUGUUUUACAUGGAUAAAGUUCAGAUUUAUACCUUUAAAAUGACUACUCUCACGUUUUCAUACGAUUUUUCUACAAUUUUUGGCGAAUUUUACAAAACUGCCUAUCAUAUUUGAAAUAAUUUCGGACCAACCUGUGAAGAUGAGUAAUUUCACACUAGUUUGAAGCCAUCAAAAAUUAUGAGAAAAAUUGUGAACAAAGUAGACAAAAUUUCCAAACUUCCAAAAUUUACGGAUCCAGAUUUCGACUUACGAUGAAUUUUCUACAAAUUUUCUAAAAACUAGUUCGGAAAAGCCAAAAACCAGAAAAAUAUGUAUUUUCACAAAACCAAGCCAAAAAUGAUAUUUUUGACAAAAAUGGGUUUAAAAUGCUAUUUUUAUCACAAAGUAGUCAUCAACACAAGUUUUUAACAAAAUUGGAGAUUAAAGUGUUAUUCUUACAAAAAUUGGGCCUUAAUUGUAAAUUUUUGGCUUAUUGGGCCAAGAAUGUCAUUUUUACAAAAAGUGGGCUUUAGAUAUCAAUUAUGUAAAUAAUCAAGCUAAAAUAAACAAAACAAUAACAAACGGGUUAAAAACGACAUUCAUAUCCUUAUUGGGCCUGGAAAUAAUAUACAUGUUUAGUGGGCCUUAGUGUCCUUUUACAUGUAUAUUGGGCUCGAGAUAGGUAUUCAUAUCCUUAUUGGGCCUGGAAAUAAUAUACUUGUUUAGUGGGCCUUAGUGUCCUUUUACAUGUAUAUUGGGCUUAGGAUAGACAUUCACAUUCCUUUUGAGCCUGGAAAUAAUAGACACGUAUAGUGGGCCUUAGUGGUCCACUUACAUGUUUAUUGGGCCUAGGAAUGGGUUUUAUAUGCGUUAUUCUUUUUAUGCUAUUUUAGUGGAUACUAUUUGCAUGCUAUUUGGGCCUAUAAAUACCUUACAUGUGAAAUGGGCCUUAGUUGUCCUUUCACAUAUAUUUUGGGCCCAUGUUAUAUAAUCUCAUUCCCUUUAGGUCUUGAAAUGAUUUACAUGUUUAGUGAUGCCUUAGUGGUUCACUUACAUGGAUCAUUGGACCUAGAAUGAGUUUAUACAUUUUUCUUCGCGUAAAUUCGAUUAAGGAUCUAGCGAGUUUUUAUCGGUUGGCACCUAUUAAGUGUACGAUCGUAGCCUGUAGUUAUAACCAGAGUCUCUUGAAGGGAGAGCGGGGAUUUGUGUAUAGAUCUAUACGGGGAUGACACCCCACACCUGAGCUGUUCGCUACAGUUAGACUAACUCAGUCUAGGGUGACAAAAACCUUAUUCUAUAUUCCGUCGGCGUCCAACGAUGCCAAGACAGGUGAAAUUGUCAUAAAUUAGUAUGGUUAUGAUGGCUCGCUUAGAGGAAUUAACGUUAUGAAGUUUACGGAAGACCUUUCUAUAUAGGCAACAUCGGGUUGUCUAGGAACAUUCUCGUUACAUGCUCUUACAUUCUCUCUCUACAAUCUAUUUACCUUUUUAGUCAGAUAACAAUAACAUACAUGCAUUAAUACAAGAUCUAACACAAACACACUAAACAGUUUUCAGAAAAUAUCGGAUUUUCUGGUGGUUUUCAAAGUUAUACAAAUCAUUUUCACAAACAUGCUUAUGAACUCACCAACAUUUUUAUGUUGACCAUUUUCAAAAUAACUUGUAUUCUCAGGAAAUCGUUGAAGCGGGAUGAACAAAACAAACUAAUGGAUAUUGUGUUAUAUUUUGAUUCAUCAUACUCUUACUAUCUUGGCAUGUAAUAUUCAAAUAGAAUACUCGAUGUAAACAAUGAAUGUUGUAAUAUUACAUGUGUGAUGAUGAUGAUGUUAUGUUUCAAUUAUAUUCACUGUAAUGAUAUUUCAAGAUGAAGUCACGCACAAGCCCCCGGACGUUUCCACCGUCUGGUUCGGGGGUGUGACAGAUUGGUAUCAGAGCAUUGUUUAUAGUGAACUAGCAUAUCUAAUCAUACAUGAUAUGCAACUAUAAAUAAAAUGGGACUAAACAACUCUGAACAUAAUAAUUUCAAAUACAUACCUUUGUGUGCAUUUUAGAAUGAUAACACAACAAGAAUAGUAAAAGUCUUUGGAGGAUUUGAACAUCACUAUUAAACUCGGACAGUUAUGUAGUCGUAUUGGGGGUGAAUGUAACCGGAUCAACUACAUUCAUUCAAAAUACGACCAACAUGUGUUCGGGAGUAAUUGUGAUGGGCAAUGAAUCAAAAACUUACCAUUUAAUUAUCCAAAGAGCUUAUAGAGCCAAACCUAAACAAAAUUAAAUUACUAUAGGAGUAAUUGGUAUGCUAAUUGUUUCUAGUAUUUAUACCCCCUUCGUGCAAUACACUAUAGACGAGUAUCGUUAGCCAGGAAACCCCUAUCUCCCUAGUCAGGGAAUAGUAGGGUGGCUCGACUCAGAGGAGGAACCACAGGAGGAACACGAAGUAGAACUUGCAGGUGAACCCGCCGAGUCAAUAGUGGACCUCGAAGAGGAAGAGCCAGAGGGCAAUGAUGAUGAUGAAUCAGAUACAAAAUCUGAUGACAUCAAUCCUCCAUGUAAAGCCAGAGUACCGACAUAUCGUGUGGGUCCCGGUGGCCCCAUGCCCCUUAGGCACAUGAUAUUUAGAGAUAGAGUCACCAGCAGGGGAUACGACCACACUACGGUAGGAACUGAGGUCUCUUCGAUCUUAGUCGUAGAGGACCAGCUGACCGGGCCCUCCCAGUCAUGGUCCGGAGCACCUGAGGUAUGGAUAGCCAAGCUCAGGGACACCCCAAAUCAUCCGGAACAAAUGCGGUUUGCUAUUGAGAGAGACAAGAGACAAACAAAGGAAGUGAACGGAGACUCCCGAGCAAGACAGUUAGUGUGAGAAGUAAGACUACAAGAUACCGAACAACAAGUAGCUCAUCUCCGAGGAGCAUCCACUUCAUCAGCACCACCACCAGACACUUCCUGCCACAAUUAGGAUCAGCCUUUUCUACUUCCCCCUACUAUUCGACAUGACUCUCUUUCAUGUACUAAGAUAGUACUUACCACUGGAACAAUUAUGUGCUAUCUUUAUUUCAUAUUACCACAUAGACUCAAUUAUAUGCACAAGCGAACCCUCAAAACCGCUAGAUACUUAAGGGUCUCGAAACCAAAACAACCUAUAUACUCUAAGGAUAGACGUGACGAUCGUGCCAAAUCUGUGAUUACCUACUACCACAAAUACAUCAUAGGGAUGUAGAUGGAAGCAGUAAGAAUUAUACAACAAGAUGCAAAAUUUAUAGAGUACAACUAGGAAUGACGAUCAUUACUUACGAUCUGGAUUAUCAACGUGCAUCAGGAAAAUGCCAUCCCGCAAGAAUAACAAGCGCACCUGCGAGACACCGUUCCUGCAGAUGAACUCUGCUACAUUCCAAGCUGCUGUAACGGCGACAGUAACCGUUGCGAUGGCGCAAAUCAAUGCAAACAACCCCAAUGGAGGCGGGAAUAACAUUGACAACUCCAUCCAAAGGAACGAACAUGGAAACCAACAAGUGACAACCAAUCAAGGAACUCCAAACCCCAAGCUUAAGAGCAGGAAGCUGAGGUCUGGAAGUAAGAAAAAGGGACAACCCACUCAAGGGUUCUCAAGGAAGCAACAUGUUGUUGCUGUUCAUGCGACCAUGACCCCUAUUACACCAACAACCAGGAGACCAUAUGUUGGAAGCCUUCCAAAAUGCAACCAGUGCAAAUUCCAUCAUAACGGAGCCUGCCGGGAGAUGUAUUGUACGAAAUGCAACCGAAAGAAUCACACCGCCAAAUUCUGUAGAACUUAUCCAUGCCAAAAUCGCCAGCCAAACAAAAACGACAACAGUCGCAACAACCCUAACAACAACACCAAUGAUGAGACCAGUCACACCCGCUAUGGGUAUGGAGGAACCGGUCACUUCAGGCGCAAUUGCCCAAGGAUAACAAUCAAGGAGCAGAAGGAUCGGAAAUGGUCCUGACCUUGGGUCAAGGCGAAGCAGUCCAAGACCCAACGAUUGUUAUUGGUACGUUCCCACUUAACAACUCUUUCGNNNNNNNNNNNNNNNNNNNNNNNNNNNNNNNNNNNNNNNNNNNNNNNNNNNNNNNNNNNNNNNNNNNNNNNNNNNNNNNNNNNNNNNNNNNNNNNNNNNNNNNNNNNNNNNNNNNNNNNNNNNNNNNNNNNNNNNNNNNNNNNNNNNNNNNNNNNNNNNNNUAAAUUUAAUGCCAGUAAAUAUUAGGAGUUUUAAUGUGAUAAUUGUCAUGGUUGGGUUAAGCCCCCACCGUGCUGAUACUAUGUGUCGCGAGAGGGCCGUUUGCCUUCACCUUCCUAAUCACGAAACUCUGAUAACCCAUGGUGAUAAACCUAGCGUCAAUCCUCGUCCUAUCUCGUGCAUCAAGGCACAGAAGUGCCUGCACCAGAAGAACUACGUUUUCCUUGCUCAAGUUGUGGACAAGACCAAGGAAGAAGUAAGCAUACAAGGUAUUCAGGUAGCAUGUGAUUUUACGAUUGUAUUUCCUGAAGAACUUCCGGGAAUACCUCCAGAAAGACAGGUAGAAUUUCAAAUUGACCUAAUGCCGGGAACCACAUCAAUUGCCAAUUCGCCCUAUAGGUUGACUCCCGCCGAAAAUUCACAAGUUAUCCAGUCAAUUGAGAAGAAUUGUUGCGCAAAGGAUCCAUCGGACCAAGCUUCUCACCCUGGAGAGCUCCCGUCUUGCUCUUCAAGAAGACGGAUCCUUCCGAAGGUACAUCAAUUUUAGGAAAUUGAAUAAACUCCCUAUCAAAAAUCAAUACCCACUUCCUCGGACUGACGAUCUAUUUGGCCAGCUCCAAGGAGCUAGUUAUAACCAGAGUCUCUUGAAGGGAGAGCGGGGAUUUGUGUAUAGAUCUAUACGGGGAUGACACCCCACACCUGAGCUGUUCGCUACAGUUAGACUAACUCAGUCUAGGGUGACAAAAACCUUAUUCUAUAUUCCGUCGGCGUCCAACGAUGCCAAGACAGGUGAAAUUGUCAUAAAUUAGUAUGGUUAUGAUGGCUCGCUUAGAGGAAUUAACGUUAUGAAGUUUACGGAAGACCUUUCUAUAUAGGCAACAUCGGGUUGUCUAGGAACAUUCUCGUUACAUGCUCUUACAUUCUCUCUCUACAAUCUAUUUACCUUUUUAGUCAGAUAACAAUAACAUACAUGCAUUAAUACAAGAUCUAACACAAACACACUAAACAGUUUUCAGAAAAUAUCGGAUUUUCUGGUGGUUUUCAAAGUUAUACAAAUCAUUUUCACAAACAUGCUUAUGAACUCACCAACAUUUUUAUGUUGACCAUUUUCAAAAUAACUUGUAUUCUCAGGAAAUCGUUGAAGCGGGAUGAACAAAACAAACUAAUGGAUAUUGUGUUAUAUUUUGAUUCAUCAUACUCUUACUAUCUUGGCAUGUAAUAUUCAAAUAGAAUACUCGAUGUAAACAAUGAAUGUUGUAAUAUUACAUGUGUGAUGAUGAUGAUGUUAUGUUUCAAUUAUAUUCACUGUAAUGAUAUUUCAAGAUGAAGUCACGCACAAGCCCCCGGACGUUUCCGUCGUCUGGUUCGGUGGUGUGACAGUUACCCCAAAAUACCAAUACCACACAGAUAACCAUAUCAUGUAAACAUAUAAGAAACAGAACAACCAUGCAUCUCGAGUCUACAGUGUGAUUAGGUUGCCCGCACUGGGCCUUCAGUUCACUUGAAAUCAACGAAGCUAUACAUAAAACAAUAAAAUUUAAAAUGGAUGAAAUGUACGAAAGUAUAAACUCAACAGUUUCCCAACAUCAAUAUUUCAUUUAAACAUGAAACAGUUGGUUUACAUCAAACUAUUUACAAAAGAAACCUCACUACAAUCACACUCAACUCUCUAAUGAUCAUUCAAGAACAAAAUGAUACAAGAUCUAAAGAAAAUGAUCUUAAAACCCUAAUAGAAAGCUUUAAAUUGGAGGAACUCUGCGAGUAAGAAAACAACAAGAAUAAUAUCUGCCCUAAAUGAACUGCAACUUCAACAUUAAAUACAUUGGGGCAUAAAACCAGAUUCGGGUUAAGCAACCCGCGUAUUCAUCCUUACAUGCAUUAUCAAAAUAUACCACAACACCCCUCUACAACCAAUAAAUAACAUAAUGUGACCAAAAUAACAAAAUACCUCAAAUGAUAAGUUUGCAACUAAUAACACUUUUUAAGACCCCCUCUCAAACUUAUCAUUUGAAGACAUACUCAUUUUCCAGAAAAAAAGUUUAAAAGUCCAAGUCUUUUUGAGAAGAAUUCAUGUUGAAAAGAAGUUAAUGAUUUAGUUAAAAUAUCUGCAUUUUGAUUAGAAGAAUCAAUCUUAACCAACUUCAAAAUACCACUUUCAAUUUUUUCUCUCACAAAAUAAACAUCUAUUUCAAGAUGUUUUGUCUUCUCAUGAAAUACAGGAUUUAAAGCUAAUUUAAUAGCAGAUUCAUUAUCAUAAAACAAUUUAACAGGAGUUAAGUUUUUAAAACCAAGAUCAUUUAAAGCUUUUAAAACCCACAACACUUCACAUGUUACAGAACCCAAAGCACGAUAUUCAGAUUCAAUUGAGGAUCUGGAUACUGUGAUUUGUUUCUUACUCUUCCAAGAAAUAAGUGAACUACCUAAAUAUACCAAAUAUCCAGACACAGACCUUCUAGUUGAGAAACACUUAGCCCAAUCAGCAUCCACAUAACCAAUAACAUCAAAAACAUUAGAUUUAGAAAAUACCACACCUUUUCCAGGACAUUCUUUUAAGUAUCUUGAUAAUCUGAAAGCAACAUUUAGAUGUGAUUUCCUGGGCUUAUGCAUAAAUUGACUUAACAGUUGAACAACAUAACUAAUAUUAGGUCUAGUAACAGUUAAAUAAAUCAGUUUCCCUAUAAGUUUUUGAAAUUCAGUUAUAUUACUUACAAGAUCUGAAUUAUCAUCACAAUCUCUAUUAAACACAAAAUUAACUUCCAAAGGAGUUUUAAUAGGCUUACAGCCCAGCAUACCAAACUCAUGUAAUAAUUCUAAACAAUACUUCCUUUGAUUUAGGCAAACACCACUACCAGUAGAUAAAACUUCAAUUCCCAAAAAAUACUUCAAUAAACCUAAAUCUUUUAUUCUAAAUUGUGAUUUAAAAAACAAUUUAACAUUUUCAAUUUCUACACUGCUAUUAUUAGUUAGAAUUUUAUCAUCUACGUACACAAGUAAAAUGACAAUGGUGUUAUUUUUAAUUCGAACAAAUAAAGAAUAAUCAUUUAUGCUUUGAACAAAACCAAAACUUGACAGAGAUGAACACAAUUUUUCAUUCCACUUUCGUGGAGCCUGCUUUAACCCAUACAAAGACUUAACAAGCUUACACGCUCUACUAUCAUUUUUAGUAUGAUAACCUUCAGGCAAAGUCAUAUAAACAUCUUCAAUUAAAUCACCAUAUAAAAAAGCAUUAUUAACAUCUAAUUGAUAGAGAGGCCAAGAAUUAUUAACAGCCACACAAAUAACAAUUCUAACAGUAACAGUCUUUGCAACAGGAGAAAAAGUUUCUUUGUAAUCAAUCCCUUCUCUUUGAUUAUAACCUUUAGCAAUUAGUCUAGCUUUAUAUCUCUCAACCUCACCAUUUGAUUUGUACUUAAUUUUAUAAAUCCAAUGACAACCAAUGGGUUUUCUGUCUUUGGGAAGCUCAACAAUAUCCCAAGUAUGGUUUCUAUAUAAGGCUUCCAUCUCCCCAUUCAUGGCUUUGAUCCAGUUUGGAUCAGUAGAAGCUUCUGAAUAAGUACUAGGUUCAAAUGUUUUAUUAAUAUUAGACACAAAACAUUUACUAUCACUUGUUAACAAAGAAUAAUUCACAGAUUUUUCUAAUCAUGUGAGAACUUUCCACAACAAAGUCAUUAAAUCUUGUUGGUAAAUGAACAUUUCUACCAGAUUGAGUAACACCUAAUAAGUGAUCAUCAGAAGGAAUAUUUUGUUCUAAAAUACUAUCGUCAGCCAAAGUUGAUGAACUAGGAACAUCCACAACAUUCUGUUGCACACGUGCCUUGUCACUCUGGUUGCUGACCUCAUCAUUAGGGGUCUCAGCCAGGUUAUGAACUGCUCUAGUACCUUCAGACUGAAGGGUUAUUCCUAAGUCACCCAAACUAUUGUUUUCUUGAAGAGAACUAGAUAACUGAGGCUCAUCAUAGGAAAAUGGGUCACUUGGAUGAUACAAACUAUUAGUUCUGUCACUAACCAAAGGUUUAAGCUUGAACAGAAAUACAGUUUCAUAAGAUUUGACAUCCCUGGAAACAAAGACAAAAUUUGAAUCAAGACUUAAAACUUUAUAACCCUUUUGUUCCAAAGAAUAACCAAGUAAGACACAUUUUUUAGCACGUUCAGAAAAUUUUUCAGGAUUAUUUAGUUUUGUUGCAAAACAAAGACAACCAAAAACACGAAGUUUAUCAAAACUAGGAACAGAUUUAUAAACAAGUUUAUAAGGAGAGGCUCCAUUUAAUACAGAAGUGGGAGUUCUAUUAAUCAAAAAAACUGCUGUUAAAAUAGAAUCACCCCAAAAAGUCAAUGGCAGUCCUGACUGAAACAUUAGAGACCUAGCUACAUUUAGAAUAUGUCUAUGUUUUCUUUCAACCACCCCAUUUUGUUGAGGUGUAUGAACACAAGAAGUUUGAUUAAUAACACCUCUAUUUUCAAAAAAAACUUUUCAUGUUAUGAUUCAAAAACUCAGUCCCAUUAUCGGACCUAACCUUUUUAAUAUUAACUUCAAACUGAUUUAACAAAAUAUUAAAGAAUGUAGUAACACAAGAAAAUACUUCACUUUUAGACUUAAGCAAGUAAAUCCAAGUUGCCCUAGUGAAAUCAUCCAUUAUAGUAAGAAAGAACUUAUAACCUUUUGAAGUGAUCACUCUAUAGGGACCCCACACAUCUAGAUGAAUAAGUUCACCUAAACAAGAAGUAACAUGCUGACUAAUUGGAAAGGAACUCCUUGUUUGUUUAGCUUUAUGGCAAACAUCACAUGGAGGUAAGUACUCAUUUCCAAUUUAAGAUGAGUUUUUAAUGAAUUCAGAGCUUGAUCAGGAGGAUGACCAAGUCUACUAUGCCAUGUAAAUUUAGAAACAUAACAUACACCAAAAUUAGAGCUAAAGGAAUUACCAGAAGGUACACUAUCAACAUAAUAGAGUCCUCCAGAUUCACUACCAUUCCCCACCAUCUCCUUUGAGUGUAAAUCUUGAAUUUUACAACUAUGUUCAUUAAACACAACCUCACACUUAUUAUCUUUACAAACCUUGUGAACUGACAUUAGAUUUACAUUAAACUUAGGAACAACAAACACAUCAAAAAGAGUUAAGGAGUUUGAAAUAUUUAAGUUUCCAAUUUUUUCUAUUUAGCACAAGUUCCAUUAGGAUGAAUAACAAGAAGAUUAAGCUUAGAUACAUCCACUGUAUCAUGCAAGAGAGAUUCAGAUGCUAUCAUAUGUUGACUAGCACCAGAAUCAAGAAUCCAUUUAUUACCAUUAUAAGAUGAAUUACAAACAUUAAACAAGCAAGUACCUGUCAUAUUAGAACUGACAUAUGCUUCCUCAUUUGACUUUCUUUCACCUAUCAGACUAAGAAACUUGGCAUAUUGAUCCUUAGUAAGUUGAUGAAAUUCAGACUCUCCAGGAUCAGAUGAUACAGGAGUAACAACAAAUGAAUUUGCAUUAAAACUUUUAGCUUGACUAUUUUGAUUAACAUCACUCCUGGGUUUAUAAUCCUUUGGGUACCCAAUUAGCUUAUAGCAUUUUUCAAUUGUAUAUCCUUUUAAUCCACAAUUCUUACACUGAAUAGCUGAACCUUCACUUUUAUUACUAGAAUUACCAGAAAAUUUAUUAUUGAACUUACUAUUAAAAGCACUAGGUUGAUUCUUGGGACCAGAUUGAGAGUCAUUAGAAAGGGAUCCAUUCCUUUGAAGAGACUCUUCACGAGAUAUGAUUGAAAAAGCAGUUUUAACAUUAGGAAGUGGAUCCAUAAGCAAUAUAUGACUCUUAACUUGGUUAUAAGAGUCAUCCAAACCACUAAGAAAUUGCAUGAGUUUCAUUAAUUUAGAGUGAUCAUUUAGUUUAAAAACAGCCUCACAUGUACAUUCUGUAAGACUGAUUAAGCCAUCAAACUCCUUACACAAGGCAUCGAGUUUAUUAAAGUAAUCAGAAACAGAUAUACCACUUUGUUUUAAAGAAUUAAUUCUUUGAUGAACAUUAAAAACUACAUAUCCAUCAGCUUUAUUAUAAGUUUCAAAUAAAUUUUCCCAAAUUUCUUGAGCAUUAUCAGAAUAAGCAUGACUAGCAUAUAUUGAAUCACUAAUAUAAGACAACAACCAAGAACACACAACAACAUUUUCCCUUUCCCAUUUUGAUUCUUUAUGUUUUUCAACUUUAUCCUUUUUAAAAGUGCCAUCAACAAACCCUAGUUUGUUUCUAGCCUUAAGGGCUCUAGACAUAGAACUCCUCCAAAUACGAAAAUUUUCAUUUCCAGUUAGUUUCACAGUAACAUUAGUUGUAGUUGCAUUAUCAGAAGGUUGGACAUAGAGAGGAUCAUCAAAAUUAAUUGAAUCAUCCUUUCUACUUCCUCCUGGAGGAUCAGUUGAACCAACCAUACAAAAGGAAGGAACAACAAGUCACAAACAAAGCUCAAGAGAGAACAACAAUAAGUAAACAACAGAGUAAACAGCUAGUCAGUCAAGAACAACCAAACAACAGACUCAUGUAUUGACAUAAAGUCCAGAUGGUCACCACGUUUGUCGGGGCCCAAGACAAUCAAUACAGAGUCAACAAAACAAUAAGAACAAAACAAAUAAGAAUAACUGGUGUACACAAGACAACCAGGAUCUCCCAAUCACAGAUAUGAAAAAGAGUGAAAAAAAGGAACAAGAAACCCCUCACAAUGCUAUUAAGACGAAGCAAUCAAGGGACCGACUCUAUCUGUCCGUUCUCUACUUAGGAUUUAUCGGUGAUGAACUCCGACCCCUAGAGAGUUAUUUCAGACAAAUAGAUUAAUCGACUGAAGUUCAGCGGAUUCCAGUUCAACAAUUGUUCAAAGACCGAUUUUGUUUAUGCUUUGUUUAAAAAUCAGAGUAACAUUUUAAAUAAAAGUGUUGCGGAAUUUGUCCCAAAACAAAAUAUGAUAAAGUUUUAUCAAAAGCAUUUCCAAAGGAAUAUAUUUCAUUAAAAGACUCGGGAUGUCAUGUUCGAUACAGAUCAAAAGCAUAAAUAGUACAAUAUAAGCUUUACUACAUUAUUUCAUAUCUACAGGCCUAUAUCCGUAAUCCCUCAUCCAAGACAUCUCAUCUAUGCUCAUGCGUCACUACCUGUAAUACAAGAAACUGAGUGGGUCAGGCUUGGGAGCCUGGUGAGCACAUAGGGUUUUCAACCCACAAUAAAUAAGUUUAUUAAUUUCAUCAAUCAACGAUAACCCGAUUACCCGUUCCCGUUCUCCUCACAUUACGUCCCUAAACACCUAUUAUAAGGGACCUAUCCUAAGGAUCAUCAUCGGGAUGGACACUACUGCUAAGGGGAUUCCUCAGCAAUAAAUGUCCUAAAGGCAACCAUGUGGGGGAUGGAGUACACCGGUGAACACAUCGUUCACAAACACCUACAGGUUGCGAGCGCUGCUAGUGUUCCACUGGACUGUCUAGAAGAGUCCGUGGUCGUCAUCCAUACUCCGCUAGAUGACAGAAUCAACAACAUCAACAUCGAGGCCUCUCAUCAUUUUAUCACACAUAACCUAUUAAAUCUACCCAUGUUUUAUCCCAACAUUUUCGUAGAUAUAAAAUACAUAUACAGUUUAAAUCAUGUAUAACAAUGUUCAUCCAGCAUAGAUAGCAAGUAUUCAGAUAAUAUGCUCACAUAGCACGCAAUUUAUAUAAAAUACUUCAUAUCUAUGUGUAAGCUGAAAGUAACUAUGCACUCACUUGAAAGGUGGUGACUCAGCACUCGGACAACGCUUCGAUACUCUUAAAACAAUUUUCCUUCGAUAAAACCUAGUAUCAAUACCACUAAAGUUUAAUCUAACGAUAACCGCGACAAAUUAAUAGUCUGACUAUUAUUAUUAUUAUAUAAGUGUUAAAUAACACUCAAUAUAACUCAUAAUAAUAGCCCAAAUAAUUAUUUCAAGGACCUAAUAACAUUCCUAUAAUUAUUUGAAAGCUAUAUUAAAAAUUGCAUAAGCGUAUCUCACUUACAACGGAUUUUAAAGAAAACCGGAACUUUAUUUGGAGCAGCGUUUCGAAACCGAAAGACCCUUUUUCUCGGGACUCCGGGAGCCUAGGGUCUUCCCUCGGGUGCUAAGGGUUUUAUCUAGGGCUUAGGAUGGUUUAGAACUCUUAGAGAGAGAAAUAUUGUAGAGAUAGAAUGAGAAAAUGUGAGAAAAAUCCGGAGACCCUCGCCCCCUUUUAUAGCCUGCGAGCCUCGGACGUAUGCUGGGCGUAGUCAUCGGAUAAAGGUUGCCAGCCGAAGCCAACUGUCUUGCACUCGGAGCGGAGAAGAGCGAGGGUACGUGGGGCGUAGGCGAAGCGACGUGUCGCAAAUCCGAAGCGAAGCGUGAUCAGCAAGCGACGACCCUGAUUGAGCCAUGUCAUCACCCUCGCAACAGAUUUCGCAAAUUCAUUUUCCGACUUCUAAAAAUCAUAACUUUCGCAUACAAGCUCCAUUUUCGACGUUCUUUAUAUCCACGCGAAGGUGGGAAUGUACUUUACAACUUUCGCUUAGACUCUGUUGGCUAAUUUUGAAUCGAUUUUAAAUUUUAUAUUAUUAACAGGCCGGGACAGGAUUGGUCCGUUAAAUCCUCAUAACUUCUUCAUCCUACGUCCAUUUUCGCCCAUCUUUUUCUCGUUAUGCUACUCUUAAUGAGAUCUUCGAUUCUCGUUUAGGUCGUGUCGGCUAAAAAUCACUCGAUCUAAUAUUCGAAUUUCGGGCUAUACACUGCUAAGCCGAAACUUCGAAAAAUCAUAACUUCUUCAUACGAAGUCAGAUUUGGGCGUUCUUUUCAUCGACGNCUACGACUUUAGUUUAGAUUGCUAAGGCUAUAUCUUGCUCUAUCGUAAAUUCGCUAUUUACGAUUCCCGGUAUCGUGUCGGUUCUGUUGCGAAACUUUGACGGGUCAUAACUUCUUCGUUAUAACUCGGAUUUCGGCGUUCUUUAUAUCCCCGGAAUCCUAGUUUCAACCACUACAAAUUUAUAUAAAGAUAUCAGACUUAUCUCUUACUUUAAUUUUGACGCUUAUUUUUAUUCUUUAUUAAUUAUACAUUUAUAAUUAAAUAAUAAACACAUAAAUACACACAAUUCACAUAAUACUCAAAUAUUUUAUCUUUAUUACUUCAAAAAGAGUUACAAUAGUUGACCUAGACUAUUACAUCGUCAAAAAUACUUAGCCCUGAAACCCGGGCGUUACAAGUGACCCUGCAAGAAACCACAGAAACACUCACAGUACCAGGACCAUAAAAAACAAAUAUAAGAUCCGCUAAAAGAAAACCCUAAAUCGAAACAAACAACUGAAACAAAUCAGUUUUAGUAAGAGAUCCAAAAGAGUUAUAAAACCUUUUAGAUCUAUGACAAUAGGUAAAGAAGAAAAUAGAAUAAAGGAUUAGAAACAACCUUUUAUGACAUCUUCAGAAGAUAAAAAACCUCCGAUGAACACCGACGAAGACGGCGAUGUUUGAUGAACACCAACGACGAAGACGACGAACCCUAACGCUUUGAUACCAUGUACGAAAGUAUAAACUCAACAGUUUCCCAUCAUCAACAUUUCAUUUAAACAUGAAACAGUUGGUUUACAUCAAACUAUUUAUAAAAGAAACCUCACUACAAUCACACUCAACUCUCUAAUGAUCAUUCAAAAACAAACUGAUACAAGAUCUAAAGAAAAUGAUCUUAAAACCCUAAUAGAAAGCCCUAAAUUGGAGAGAACUCUGCGAGUGAGAAAACAACAAGAAUAAUAUCUGCCCUAAAUUAACUGCAACUUCAACAUUAAAUACAUCAGGGCAUAAAACCGGAUUCGAGUUAAGCAACCUGCGUAUUCAUCCUUACCUGCAUUAUCAAAAUAUACCACAACACCCCUCUACAACCAAUAAAUAACAGAAUAUGACCAAAAUAACAAAAUACCUCAAAUGAUAAGUUUGCAACUAAUAACACCUUUUAACGUGAAAUCAAGAAUGAGCUUUUAGAACAUAUAAUUACGUAACAAUUACCAAUUAUUUCAAAAAACAAUAAAUACUUCAAUAUAAAAUCUAUCAUUGUAUUUCUUAAUCACAGCAAUGCAUAUGUAUUGGGCUUUCUUAAUUUCAAUAAGAUAGAGUUUUGAAUAUUAUAAUUUAAUAAAUAAAUACUUUAAAGGUAACACUAUAUACAAUUUAAACUAAUUACUCAAUACAACUCAAGAGUUUUUUAAAAUUAUGGUUAUUAAAUGAUAUUUAUGAUGUAUAUAUGGUUCACAAACAUAUGGUGAAAACCUAUCUUUUAAAGAUUUAACCACUCAAAUAUUUUAUAACUUAUAUAUGUUUUAUAACUUAUAUAUUAUAUUUAAUAAUCACUUAAUGUAAGUUUAGUAUAAAUAAUUUAAUCUCCUCAAAGGUUAUAUUAAAUUUUUGCGCAAAGCACGUAUACGUCUAGUAUGAAAAAUAAUAUUAACGGACAUCCAAAUUAAGGGUGGGUGACUCCUGAUUCACCAAAAGGCCAUCUAAUGUUGUCCGAGCCGCCUCUUUCUAUUCCUGUUGGUUUGGUUUUCUGACCUUUCUUCACCCAAUCCAAACCAAAAUGACAAAACACGAGAUGUGAUGAGGAGAUUUAUAUUAUAUAUAUACUAGUCCAUGGUUUCCUUCAUUGUAUAUAUAUACACACACACGUAUAUAUAAGUGUUGAUUAAGGCAACCUUGUGUGUGUCUCACUUUUCUCAGGCAUACACAAGCAACUGGGAAACGGAUCAACGACUAAAGCCAAGCUUCUCCCAACCAAAUAUAUGGCGACCUCAGUCGAAAACCGCAACUUCCGCCACGAGCUUGGUGUAUCCGCCGCUGGUGCAGUGCGUUCCGAGUCACCCAUCCAUGGAUUCAACUAUCCAGCUGUUGCUAGAGAGUUUAUGACGCCUAAGAAGCUUCCCCCUGAAACUUACGAUUCUAGUGACGAUGAGGAAGACGAAGGAGACUAUCGUGAUGCCAUUAAGAAGUCCAACUCCGAGUUGGAAAGCUCCGUUUUUGACUCCAGAGAUCAAGGCACUGCGGAUCAAUGGAUCGAGCGCAACCAAUCAAUGGUUCGACUCACUGGAAAACACCCAUUCAACGCCGAGCCACCUUUGACUAAGCUCAUGCAACAUGGGUUCAUCACCCCUGCUCCUCUUCAUUACGUCCGCAACCAUGGUCCAGUUCCGAACGCCACCUGGGAGGAUUGGACGGUGGAGAUAUGCGGUUUGGUUAAACGACCUGCGCGUUUCAGCAUGACUCAGCUUGUCAACGAGUUUCCCAGCAGGGAGUUUCCGGUGUCGUUAGUCUGCGCUGGAAACCGCCGGAAAGAGCAGAAUCUGACGAAACAAACCAUAGGGUUCAACUGGGGCGCCGCCGGUAUAGCGACCUCGGUUUGGAAAGGGGUGCCAUUGGUCAGCAUCUUGAAAAGAUGUGGGAUUUAUAGCCGGAAGAAAGGCGCGCUCAGUGUGUGCUUUGAGGGGGCGGAGGAUCUACCCGGCGGAGGCGGUUCCAAAUACGGAACCAGCAUAAAGAUCGAGGUUGCAAUGGAUCCGGCGAGGGAUAUCAUUUUGGCUUACAUGCAAAACGGAGAAAAGUUGUUGCCUGAUCAUGGAUUCCCGGUGAGAAUGAUUAUUCCGGGAUGCAUCGGUGGAAGGAUGGUGAAGUGGUUGAAGCGUAUCAUAGUAACGACGCCGGAGUCGGAGAAUUAUUACCACUACAAAGACAACCGUGUGUUGCCGUCGUACGUGGAUGCGGAGUUAGCCAACUCCGAAGGUAAUUCAUACAGUAUUUUAUACACGUAUUUUUUUUUAAAACAUAUAUUACUAUUAAACUACAUCUAAUUCAUAGCUGUAUCUCAUGCGUGACUUCAACUUUCAAUCUAAGAGCAAAAGGCUAACAAUACUAAAUACUAACUGACAAUUACUAAUACUAGUUGCCAAUUUUCAGACUAGAAUAAGCCUUUUGAUUAUAGAAUCAUUGUCUGAUAUAUAUACAAUAUAUAUAAUUCAUGCAUAUCAAUGAAUCAUAAUAUUUUUGUGAUUUUGACUUUUAGUAUGAUUUGAUUUGAAUUAGGUUGGUGGUAUAAGCCAGAAUACAUCAUCAACGAGCUCAACAUAAACUCGGUGAUUACAACACCUUGUCACGAAGAGAUUUUACCGAUAAAUUCAUGGACUACUCAAAGACCUUACACCUUGAGAGGCUAUGCAUAUUCUGGUAAUAAAUUAAUGUUUUUUUAUCUCUUAAUUAUUAACAUAUAGUAGUUUAUUUUAUGUCGCAUUAAAAGAUAUUUAGUGAGAUUCCGUGUUUGAAUUAUUCAAUAAUUAGUUAAUUACCACUGGUUACGUUCGCAAAAUAAUCACAGCUACUCUUAUUGUAUAUUACUUUUUACAAAAAAUAAUAAAACAUCAACUGUUUUUUAAAGCCUCCGGUCAUCAUAUAGUAAUCUUGAUUUUUAAAUUGUUAACUUUAGUUUUUUUAUUUAAUGUUUUUUUUAAUUGAAAGAUAUUUUAAGAAUAAUAAAACUUCGCUUAAGGACACUGGAUUUAUAGAUACGGAUUAUACGGUAAAAAAAACAAGCUUCACAUGACAUGACAACUUACAAGUUUGCAAAUACCACUUGUCGUGAUAAAAACUUCAAAGGAAUAUUUUGACUUAAAUGAUCAAUUAACUAGUUGAUUAAUUAUUCUAAAGUGCUAAAGCAAUUAAUUACUAUAUAUACCUUUCAUAUUCUAUUUUGUAAUUUACAUAAACAAAACCAAGCACAUUAAUUAAAUAUCAUAAGAAAAGAUGACCAGUUAUAUUAAUUUGAAGAGUCAAACAAUAUAUUAGUCUUCAAGUGUGUUGGAUAUAGGAUUUGACUUUUAAUUAAUUAAGAGAAUUGAAUUGGGUGAUUCAUAGGAAGUGGGAAGAAAGUGAUACGUGUCGAAGUAACAAUGGAUGGAGGAGAGACAUGGAACGUUUGUACAUUGGAUCAUAAAGAGAAGCCAACAAGAUAUGCCAAAUAUUGGUGUUGGUGUUUUUGGUCGUUAGAAGUUGAAGUUUUGGACCUUCUUAGUGCCAAAGAGAUAGCAGUUCGAGCCUGGGAUGAGACCCUCAACACCCAACCAGACAAGCUCAUUUGGAAUCUAAUGGUAACCUACUUACUUUUUCAUGAUACAUUUAUAUUUCUUUUUUGGGUUUAAUGUAUUUUGCUAUAGUUAUUAAGAUAUUAGGUUUUUUUACUACUCUAAAAUCAAUUUUCCAUUCCAUAAAGUUUUACUUAAAAGUAAAAUACAUUAUUAUGUCAAUUUAGUUACCAAACUAUCACUAUAUAUUUAUUAUAGUAUUAACAAUUAUUAAUAGAUCAAUCAAUAUAAAAUAAAAAAUGAUCAAAAUAUAUCAUAUUUUUGUUAUGUUUUGUUCAAAUAUAGAAAAAUGGAGAACAAUAUGGAAAACCAAUUGACUUAUGUGAUAAAAGAAUUAUAUUAAUAAACUAAUGAAAAUUGUUGGUGUAUAUAUAAUUUUGUCUGCAGUCAAACAAAUAUCAAAAUUAUACGAACAACAUUUAUUUCAUAUUGCAAAGCUAAUUACAUUGAAUUUAUACAGGGUAUGAUGAACAACUGUUGGUUUAGAGUGAAGACCAACAUGUGUAAACCACAUAAAGGCGAAAUUGGCAUCGUCUUCGAGCACCCAACCCAACCUGGAAACCAGUCUGGUGGAUGGAUGGUGCGUGAGAAACACCUCGAGAUUUCAACAGAAUUAGCACACCCAACUCUCAAAAAGAGUGUAUCAUCUCCAUUCAUGAACACCGCAUCUUUAACCUUCACCAUGUCUGAAGUCAAGAAACACAACUCCGUUGACUCUGCAUGGAUCGUCAUCCAUGGCCACAUCUACGACUGCACUUCCUUCCUUAAAGAUCAUCCAGGUGGCAGUGACAGCAUACUCAUUAAUGCUGGAACUGAUUGCACCGAAGAGUUUGAUGCAAUUCAUUCAGACAAAGCCAAGAAACUGUUGGAGGAGUACAGAAUCGGUGAGCUCAUAACCACGGGUUACAGUUCGGAUUCUGCUGCAUCAUCACCAAAUAACUCCGUCCAUGGUGCCACCAAUUACAUCACGUCACAUUUAGCCACCAUCAAAGAAAUUACACCCACAAGAAACGUAGCCUUAAUCCCUCGUGAAAAGAUCCCUUGCAAACUCGUUUCAAAAACAUCGGUUUCUCAUGACGUGAGGCUAUUCAGGUUUGCCCUCCCAUCAUUGGAUCAUGUUCUUGGGUUACCAGUAGGGAAACAUAUAUUUGUAUAUGCCACCAUUGAUGAAAAGUUGUGCAUGAGGGCCUACACACCAACAAGCACCAUUGAUGAAGUUGGCUACUUCGAGUUGCUGGUUAAAAUCUAUUUCAAAGGUGUGGAACCCAAGUUUCCGAAUGGAGGGCUCAUGUCGCAAUAUCUAGAUUCAAUGACACUAGGUUCUUUAUUGGAGAUCAAAGGUCCAUUGGGUCACAUCGAAUACAUUGGUAGGGGGACAUUUUCAUUUCAUGGUAAACAAAAGUUUGCCAAGAAAUUAGCCAUGUUUGCAGGUGGAACGGGGAUCACACCGAUAUAUCAAGUGAUGCAGGCGAUCUUGAAGGAUCCAGAGGAUGAUACAGAGAUGUAUGUAGUGUAUGCAAAUCGAACCGAAGAUGAUAUAUUGUUGAGGGAAGAACUGGAUGCAUGGGUAUAUAAGUAUAAAGAAAGGGUGAAGGUGUGGUAUGUUGUUUCUAAGUCGAUAAGAGAAGGGUGGAAAUACAGUGAAGGGUUCAUCACCGAAGAUGUCAUGAGGGAACAUAUUCCGAAGGCUUCUGAAGAUACAUUGGCUUUGGCUUGUGGACCACCACCCAUGAUUCAGUUCGCAAUCAACCCUAAUUUAGAAAAGUUGGGUUAUGAUAUAAAGAACUCUUUGCUUGUGUUUUAGAAGAUCAUAUUGUAUUGUUAUAUUAGAUCUUGGUUAAAUUUUUAUUUCAAAUAUAAGAUAAAGGCCAUAUAUAUGUACAUACACUUGUACUUAUAAUCAUAUUUCUAUACGAGGGAGCUUAUUAAUAAAAAAUCAUAAUAAUUUUAAAGCGUCUUUUAAGUCAUCCUCUUAAAUCAAGUGUCUCCCUUUGGUUAUUCUUGAUAGUUAUUUUCAAGGAUUAAUGUCAUUAUAGCCCAACCAACUAUCAGGUUUUGUUUUAAAUAGCCCCUUAUGUUUUUUUAGCAUUUAAAGGGAAUAAAAUCCAUGUUAACCUGUUUAUUAAGGACCUAAAACCUGUUUUAAGGCACCUUCACCUUUAAUCCCAAAUCACCAUCCAAUCAUCUCCAUCCUAGAAAAACCAUUGCUCCUUCAUAUGUGUUGUUUUUCUUUUCCUAUGAAUCACAACUUAUAUAUUCAAUACAUUGAUUUCUCCAUCUCACUAAUUCAAGAUUGUGAUUAGAAAUCUUCGUGCUGUGAUUCCAUUAGAUGGAUUUAUUCACGAUUUUAGAUGUUCUUCAACACAAGUCUAUGAACUUCAAACUCCACCACCAACCAUCUCCCACGAUCAACCCACCACCAUCGUCCUCUUACUACCAAUCACCAUCAUCGUUCACCUGCAUUAGAUUUGAAAAAUGAUUUAAAUCACAAUGCAACAACCCUUACAAGAGGAGUGAUAUACACGAGAGAAGAUGUUAAAGACCCGUCAUUUUAGAUUUGAAGCAACGAACAUAUAUCGGAUUGGUGUUCUGCAUCACGAUCUGUCAUCUUCAAACCCAAUAUCUUUCCUUAUUUCCAGAUUUAGGUUGUAACGGAGCUGAGGAAAUUCAGAUGUUCUAGAAACUGAUGGGUUACAUUUCAAGCAAAAUUGAAGAGGUUAACUCCAUAUUCUCUAUCAAUUUUAGGACUUCUAACAUGUCUUCUUUGCAGAUCAAUUUGAGAACAUAACAAACUACAAAGAUCACUAUAAAGGAACUAGGUCUGAGAUAUGGGAGGAGACAAGAGGCAAAUUACAUGCUUUUGUUGUACAUGCAGGGACAUGUAGCACUCUGGGUAGUGUUUCUUGAUUUUUAAAAGAAAAUGAUCCAAUGGUAAAUUGUUAUCUUGUGGAUCCUCCUAGUUCUGAUUUGUUUAACAAAGUUACAUAAGAAGUGAUGUACACAAGAGAAGAGGUUAAAGAACCCAUUUGAAAUUGUCACAUAAGGAAUAUGGAUCAAUAGAUUGACUGAGAAUUUCAAAAUGGCCCAACUUGAUGGAGGGUUCUAAUAUUUUUGUUCCUUUUAUUAAAUUCCUUCUAAAGAAUGAUGAACUAUUUGUUAGAUGUUCUUCAGUAAUGAAAUAUGUUGGACCUGAUGUGGCCAAUAUUAUUGGUGAUGCUGAGAGUACAACCCACUACUGUUGGUGUCUCCAUGGAUUUUAUUUGGUUUGAAGUCACAACCUUGAAAGGCAUAAUCAGAUAUAAUCAGAUAGCUACAGUAGCCGUCGAAAGUCAAUGAACAUGUAGGUGAACCAUGAGAGUACAUUGCAUAAUUAGACCUUAUUUGGAACAUAAACCUAAUAAAAAAAAGGUUAAAGUGACCAAAUUGGCCAGUAAUAAUCAAGUUCAUGCCCUUGUAAUGCCAAACUUUAGAUUGAUGGACCUUUUAAACCAAAUCAUGUUAGUUUAUAGGUUUAUAGUGACAUUUUCCCUAUUUUCAAUAACCAAAAACAUAAAACUCCCAAAGCUUGAUCUUGAAUUUGAUUAUACGAAAUAAACAAAAAGAAAUUACAUACCUUCACUAUAAGAAUGAAACUCUAUAGAGAUGAAACCUAUAGGUAAAACACAUUUUGUCGUGAUUAAGGGCAUGUAGGGAACAACAUGUCAUCGUAAUAGGGUUGAACAACAUGUAACACUCACGAAUUUAGGGUAAACAUUUUAAGGGUUUAUAAAUUAUAUAAAAUAUAUUUAUACUACAUACAUGUUUUAUGGUCAAAGAUUAUGGGCUUAUAAUAUUUGAAUACAACAUAUCUAGAAAUUAACAAAUUAUGUCAAAUAAGUGUCUAAAAAUAAAAGACUAUUUAGGAUAAAUAGUAUUGAUGAAAGUUGUAGUUGUUGUUAUGAUGAUUUUUUGGAUAUAAAGAACGUUUAAAUCUGACUUCGUAUGAGGAAGUUAUGAUUUAUCUAAGUUUUGUGUUCAAACCGAUAUGACAAGGUGCGCUAUAAAAAGUGAAUCAGAGAUAGGUUGCUUUUUAUCCUAAGUGAUCUAAAAAAAAUUGUAGUGCUCGUUAAUAGGAACUUGUCCAUGUAAACAACACUAAAAUCAAUAUUCGUAUGAAGAAGUUAUGAUUUUUCAAAGUUUCGAGUGUGACAUAGUACAAUAGUGUGCGAUACAGAAAUCGAAAUUUAAAAGUAGUUGAUUGUUAGCCAAAAAAAUGUAAACAAGAGUUGAAGAUUUCAUAAGUAUGAAUUUUCGGUAUAAAGACAGUCGAGAACGGAACUCGUAUGUGAGGUAUAUAAGAGAAACUUGGUCCCUAAGUUUCAAAACAAAGGCGAAAUCUGUUUAGAUUUGUAAAAUUGAAAUAGACUGAGAAUUAUCUUACAAUGUCUAAAUGAAAGUUGUAGUACACUUCAAUAUGAGACCAACGAUAUAAAGACAAUUGAAAAUGGAAUUCAUAUGAAGAAGUUAUGAAUUUCAUAGCGUUAUUUAUAGUCUAAAAUUCCUCGAACUGAAACACGAAAAAUAAAGUGAAAAGUAGCCGACGAAGUCUAAAUCAAAAUUGUCGUACUCGUCGAUACCUACGCAUAGAUAUAAAGAUCUUUGAAAACGGAUCUUGUAUGCGAAAGUUAUGAAUUUUACAAAAUAAUUAAAAAUCAGAUGGCCCAGAUGAUGACAUGUGGCACGUUUUACGUUUUACAUACACGAGUACUAUAUUAAGUAUCCCCCUCCUACUUAGAUAGUCAUAUAUAUUCUGUCUGUAUUGGAUCACUUCUAGGUAUGUCUAGGUCAGGCAGCCUAUAGGUGCCUGGAUGACCGGUCUAUAUCAAACAGAAGGAUUAUAAGUUAUCUACCAGAGCGAGAUGACGACCACUUACAAACCUAGUCUUGUGGAAUACACUAAAAGACUUAUAGUCUGUAGAUGUUAAUGAAUUAUGUGUUCAUUUGAUGCACUCCAUCCCCCUUAUAGUUACCCUCAUUGAUUAGUGCCUGCUACUAAGGACACCCCAAGGCAAUAUAGUCAAAUAACUAUUUACAGUGAUCCAUCAGGAUAGAUCUUAUAAGAUCACUGUAUUAGGAUAAGUAUGUGAGGAUUGACAACGUUGGUAGUUUCAGGGAAAUGUUUUCUAGAUGAUUAUGUUGAGUUGUUGGAUGAAUUUUUUUUGCAGGUUAUUGAUGAAUAUAACAUUUUGGGAUUCAAAACCCUAAGUAACUCAUCAUGUUUCCCAACCUGACCCACUCAAUUUUGAUGCAUCACAGGUAGCGAUGUUAAGACUGCUGAAGAUUUAAAUAAGAUGUUGAGUGAUUGGAGAAAAGACAUGCAAUAGAGUUCAGGACCACAAGUCUUUACGCUGUAACUAUGUUGUGUAUUGAUUAUGACAUCCUUAGAGUUUUGUAUUUUGAAACAUCUGUAAGUUUCCGCAAUUUUUUUAUUAUACUGAGAUUUUCCGCAAACAAACAUGUUAUGGAUUUUCAAAGUGUAAAGAAUUUUUUUGUGGGUUCUUGAAAAUAGGGAUAGCUACGUCCCCGACAUAUUGUCUCUAUGGGUAAGGUGGGAAUGAAAAAAAUGUUGGCUGGUUUCCAAAAAGCUAUAAGGAUGAUACAUCAUCCCAAAAAGAAAUUAAAUUAAAUAUAUAAAUUUAUGUUAAUCUUUUUAAUUGUAAAUUUGGCAUUUUGUUUGAGGGUGUAUGGAUAACAAGUUGUCCUUAUAUGGUCUAUAGUCUCUAAAAUUUGAGUAAGUCUCUAUUUCUCUUUAACCGAUCGCAACUCUAAAGCCCUUCUCUUUCACUCUCUUAGGACAUUAGUACAAAAAUCGACAUUGGCCAACAAAAAAAGUGUGGCCAUAUGUUGUUAGCCACAUUUUAUUUUUUCAGCUCAAAUGUGAUUAAAUGUUUUUGUCCUUUUAGGUAUCAUACGACCACAUUGAAAUAUAGUUGUAAUAUCUCAAAAUUUUAAACCAAAUUUUCUUUUUUAAUAUAAAGGAAAACCAUACUAAUUUUAGUCUAAAAAGAUAAUCAACCAAUUGUUCACAUCAUUAAAUUAGAGUCAUAAUAAAACCAAAGUGCAGAAAUUUCAACAAUACAAAAUCAGAUGUGAUGCCAACAUGCCGUGCCUUUCCACUUGCUAGAAGAAGUAUGCAGAAGCACCUGAAACAUUUAAAAUUUAAACCAUAAUCAUAAACCUUAGUGAGUUCCCCAUGAUACCACUUACAUCACAAGUAAUCAUACAUAAGUGUAACAGAUUUAUUUCAACCAUGUGAAUGCUACAGGUCGUACAUAGUCUCACAAUCACUUUUUGCUAUGUAUCAAAGAUAGUCUUUCCUGCUAUGUGCCAAACAUAGUCUUUCAUACAAGUGUUAUGGGCUAAACAUAGUCUUUCAUGCAAGUUACAAAGAUAAUCAACAUAUAGUGUCCUAUACGAUAUAGUGAGAAGACUGGCCUGAAUCAGAGCUGAAACCAAACUACUCGAAGUCUCACAGAACCAGGUACACAAACCACCUAGACCAUCAAAGCCAUAAUCCUCUGCAUAUAACUCAAAACCUCCAAGUUUGACCAAAAGUCAAACUGGUAAAAUAGUCAAUGAUCAAAGUUAGUGGUUAACGGUCAACGUCCUCCACACCACGGCCAACCCCAUGGUCACACCGUGAUGGCAUCCCAAAAAAUAGUUGCGACUGCAACGCAUAACCAUGAUGCAGAAAAUCCUUGGCCACAUUGUGAGUAUUCUGGAAGAACACAACUUCAUUAAAUUCUUAAUUCUUAUAGAUCGAGCCUUGUCUCUUCAGAUAUAAAUAUUUUCAAUGACUUAACGUCUAAAGUGUGACAUCCCCUAUUUUAAAGAACAAAAAAGCUUUUCUUUAUGCUUUUAAAACCAUGUUUUUUUGAAAGCGUGUCAUUUUAUUAAAACAUUUUGAGUAUAAAUGAUGUUCCAAAAUACUAAAAACUCUAAGGAUUUCAUAAGCAUACAGAUAUAUCAGUCCUAAAUACUAUUGCAAGUUGUCUCUUCAAUCACUCAACAUCAUAAUCAACUUCCAACAGCCUUAGUACCACUACAUGUUAUGCAUAGAAUUUGAGUGGGUCGGGUUUGGGAACCUGGUGAGAGACAUAGGGUUUUUGAUCCCACAGUAUUAUUAUGAUAAUAAAUCAUAUAUAAAUAUCCUGCAAAACCAACGCUACCAAUAAUAUAGAUAUAUAAUCCAAAAAAGAUAUUUAUAAGAUAAUAUACACCUACAUACCUAGCCCAAUCGAUUUUCAUAAAUCCUAAUCAACGAUCAUCUGGAAGAAUCGCCUUAUCCGAUGAAUCAUUUAGAGCAACAACUUGACUACACAACCAAGGGAAGGGGACAGAGUACCCGAAUGAACACACAAUGCUUUUCCCUGGAUGAGAUUCAUUAACAUAUACAGAUUGUAAGUCUGCUAGUGUUCCACAAGAUUGUCUAGAAUAGUAAGUGGUCGUCAUCUAUAUUCUACUACAUAACUAGUCCCAAUAGUACAAUAGUACAAUUUUGGUCGUACCUGAAAAGUUUUAUAGGUUAUAAAUCAAUGCAUGAGGAAGAAAUAACUUAACCCUUAAGUUCACAUGCAACCUAGUUGUAUCUAAGUUUUCUCUAUUGAGAACAAUAAACUCAUAAUAUCUAGAACUCUAAGGAGGCCCUACUAUUAUCAAACUUCACAUAGAGUUAGGGUUUACAUACCUUUUGAUUAUUAUAGUAAAUAAUCAAAUCAAGUCCUUUCUUCAAAUGCCUUGGAAAGCAAGCAACAAAAUAUUGAUGCCUCUAAUGGUUUAUACCCAAACCCUAGCAAUUAGAAGACUUGAGGAGAGAGGAUGAAAUUUUUGGCUCUAGCCUUUCUCAAAGGAGUGUAUGAAAAAUAGGAUCCUAAGGGUCAUAUUUAUAGCUGAUAUAAGGUGCCUUGGAAACCCUAAUUUGAAUAUAAUACUAUUAUUUCAAAUUAAAUAAUUAUCCAACUUCCUAAUUAUCUUCAAGGGAUAAUUCUAGAACCCUUAAAGGCUCUCCAAAACUGUCCCCUCCUAGGAAGGUUUUGGAACCUUUCUAUUAUUCAACUUUUGAACAAUGACAACUUAGUCCCUAUAAUUUUCUAAAACCCUUAUCUUUAAGGGAUAAUUCUAGAACCCUUAAAGGCUCUCCAAUUCAUUUCUGAUUAAUUCUUAAUUAAAUAUUACUAAUUCUAAUUAAUAUAUUAAUAUCAUAAUAUAUUAAAAAAUUAUUUAUUGCUAUUUAUUAAUCACAUAAUAAAUCAAUAAAUCAACCUCUCUCUUUAAAAGUCAUUAUAGUCAAUUGCUAGUUCUGAGGGCAACCCAAAAAGGACUUUGCUUUUAAUUCAAGUAUAUACCAAUUUAGUUAUUAGAUUAGAAACCUUAAUCUAACAGCCACCCACUUGGAUAAUUUUGUAACUACAAUUGAAAAUAUAACUUCUAAAUUAAAAAGCAAAGUGUGCUUUCCAAAGCAACUGUCGAACUCUGAUCCAAUCAGAAAUUGGCCCCUAAGAUAAGCGAUCAAAUAUUCCUUUAUUCUUCAAGAUAUCAUAUGGACAUGAGACAUGGAUUACAAUCAAUCUCAUUGUCUAAAAUUAUGUUUCCUGAUCUGUGAUGACGUCAUUAGACUACUAAUUGAAUACAUCAAUUCAGUCCUAGCUGGGCACAACACUAUAAUGUGAACACCAAAUCACCGAGGGACCAAAUAUAUUGCUUUUCCUAUUAGGGCAAAAGGAACGAAUAAACUUUGACUUAUAUACUUAUACCCUUUACUCACCAAAUCGUGCAUGUAAUUACGUUUAAUAGUAUCGUGUUACUGAUCCAUUUUCGCAAUACAAAUGCACAAUUGACUUGUAAAUUACAACUUAUAUAUCUUUGUUUGAAGAAUAAAAGAUAUUAUCAUCUCAAAAUUAAUUGUGAUAUAAUAUAUGAAGUAAUUCUCUGAGCGUGAGUUUAUCCAAUACUCAAAAAUCUCCAUUUUUCAAGCACUCAUGAAUAUUGUAGCAAACCCAUUGCAAUGUCUAAUCUCCAUAGACAAUCUACAACCUUUUCAAGACAGUCGUACUUUACUACUCACUUCCAAAAGUAUGAGUGACUGUGAAAUUUUUGAAUAAUCAAAUCUUUCAGGAAGUAAAACAUGCAAAAUAAAACACAAAAAUAAACAAACAAAAAGGCGAUAACUAUACUCAUAAAUAAUUCUCUAUUAUUUAAUCACCAAAUUCAAUUACAUUUAUUUUCUUAAAAAGUUUAAACUGUCAAAUAACUACUAAAACUAACAUCUUCUCUCAAGCCCAUGCUCCAAGCAUGCUGGUUGUGUUUAACCCUACUCAGAGCUUUUGUGAAAGGAUCUGCAAGAUUGUCUUCUGAUGAUACACGCUUCAUGUGACAUCCCCAAAAUCUCGGCCAGAAAAGACCGAUUUUCAUUUAUGCUUUUAAAUAAUUUCAGAGUAAAUCCUUUUGAUUUGAAAGAGUUGCGGAAUUUGUUCCCAAAACAAAACAUGAUAAAAUAAUAUUUAUCAAAGCAUUUCAUCAAGAGAUGCAUUUCAUUAUAUAAUCAAAACUCGGGAUGUCAUGUUCCGAUACAGACCAUAAAGCAUAAACGAUAACAUUACAAGUCAUUCAACAAAUAUAUACAUAUACAGACUUGUAAACAAAACAACAAGAUGAUCCAUCCAUCUUACGCCCUUGUGCCACUUCUUGUAAUACAAAUAAAACUGAGUGGGUCAGGCUUGGGAGCCUGGUGAGCAUAUAGGGUUUUUAACCCACAAUAAAUAAGUUAUAUUUAAUUUCACUAACCAAUCGCUAUCCCGAUUACCCAUUCCCGUUAUCCUCACUUUACGUCCCUAAAACAACUAUCUCAAGGGACCUAAUCUAGGAUUUUCAUCGGGACGGACAUCACUGCGAAGGGGUUUCCUCAACAAUAGAUAUCCUAAAGGCAACCAUGAGGGGGAUAGAGUACACCGGUGAACACAUCGUUCACAACACCUACAGGUUAUGAACCUGCUAGCGUUCCACUGGACUGUCUAGAAAGAGUCCGUGGUCGUUAUCCAUACUCCGCUGAAUAACUAGAUCAACAACAACAACAACAUCGAGGCCUCUCAUCUGUUUAUUACACACCAACUAUCUACCCAUGUUCUACCCAACAUAUUAGUAGAUAAAAAUAUAUAUUUUCAUACGUAGUUUAAAGAAAACCUGUAUAGCAUGCUUUAAUCAACACAUAUGUCACAUAACAGAUGAGGCACACACACAUAACACAUAUCUCAUAAAGAAAUAAGCAGAUCUAUAAGAUAGAAGAGAGUGAAUACUCAUUCACACAUAACACAACCAAAUAUAUACACAUAGCACGUAUUUUUAUAUAAAAUACUUCGUAUUAUUGUAUUAGAAGAAAUAACUACACACUCACUUGAUCAGAAGACGAUCCGACAGCACUACGGCUUAUAGAAGUAGUAAUCCACAGCAGAUCUGGAAGAUCUCCUCGAAAAUCGAACUUCUCGCGGGCAGAGCUUCGACUCGGGAACCGCGCUUCUCGGGAUCUUCGGGAUCUCGGGACUUGCCUCGGGGCUAGAGUAUGAUACCGGGNNNNNNNNNNNNNNNNNNNNNNNNNNNNNNNNNNNNNNNNNNNNNNNGGAGCCUCGGAGUACGCAGGGCGUAUUGCAGUACGCAGCGCGUACUGCGUCCGAAAUCGUCACUGCAUGCGUCAUCCGAAGUGUUGACACUAUCGGAGUACGCGGUAGUGUACUCGCGUACGCGGGGCGUACGUCGGAUCAGACUGGUGACUCGGCUUCGGAUAAUGCCGGAUUUUUGAUUUAAAAAUAAAUACAAUUUAUUUAUCAAACUUCGGAAAUUCAUAUCUUCUUCAUACGAACUCCGUUUUCGACGUUCUUUAUAUCCACGGAAAGGUGAGACUACGCUCUAUAACUUUCGUUUAGACUCCGUCGGCUAAUUUUGAUUUAUUUUUAUUAUUUAUUUUUAAUAGGCCGCGACAGAAAAACUUCGUUAUAAAUUCAUAACUUCUUCGUUUGACGUCCGUUCUCGCCUAACUUUUUAUCGCUUCGAUACCAACAAUGAGAUCUUCGAUUCUCAUUUAGAUUGCCUCGGCUAAAAACCGCUUGAUCUCAAUUCGAGUAUUUCAGGCUGCACAUCGCUAAGUUGAAACUUCGAUAAAUCAUAACUUCCUCAUACGAAGUCAGAUUUGGGCGUUCUAUAUAUAUUCGAAAACCUCGUUUCAACUACUACAACAUUAACCAAAGAUAUUAAGUUUAUUUUACACUUAAAUUUUGAUGCUUAUUUUUAUUCUUAAUUAAUCAGACCACAUAAUUAAGCAACUAAGCACAAAACACAUAAUACUCAAAUAAUACAUUCUUAUUAUUUCAAAAUGGGUUACAAAGGUUAACCUAGACUAUCACAUUGCUAAAAAUGGCAAGCCCGGAAACACAGGCGUUACACUUCACUAGGAGAUGAUAUUCUUCAACCCUAUGUCUGAUGUAAUCGUACUUUCUUUCGGUAUGUUUGGAUCUACCAUGAUCCUUUGGUUCUUUAGUCAAAGAAACCACCCUUUAAUUAUCAAAAAAAAGUUCCAUUGGCUCUUGAAAGGUCGGGACUACUUUGAGAUCGCCGAUGAAGUUCUUCAACCAAGUCGCCUCCUUUUAUGCCUCACUUGCUGCGAUGUACACUGAUUCACAAGUAGAAUCAUCCAUCUUAUCCUGCUUGGAACUUUUCCAAUUCACCGCUCCACCAUUUAACACAAUCACCCAUCUCGACUGAGAAUAAAAGUUGUCUCGAUCUGUUUGAAAUCUGGUGUCACAAUAUCCACUUACUCUUAAAAUAUCACUACGACCAAGGACUAGAAACAUAUCCUUCAUCCUCCACUGAUGCUUAAGAAUCUUAUUAACUGCAGUCUAAUGAGCUCUGCCAGGAUUUCCCUCAAAUUGACUAACCAUGCUCAAAGCAUAAGACAUACCAGGAUGAGUACAUUUCAUAACAUACAUGAUCUACAGCCGAAGCAUAUGGGAGCCGACUCAUGUAAGCUAUUUAUUGGAAUUCUCCAUACUAAAAAGUUUUAGUAUUUUAUCCAAGUAUGUACUCUAGCUAGGAUAAUAAGUCAUUUCUUUCUAUGCCUCAAAAUCCUUAUUCCAAGAACUUAGGUUGGUUCCCCUAGGUCCUUCAUAGCAAAACACUUUCCAAGCCAAUAUUUCACUUCUUGCAAGGUCAGAAUGUCGUUUUUUUAUAAGGUGUAUGUCACCAACAUACAAUAAUAGUGUACUUACGUAUUAGAAGCUUGUAAGGAUGAUUAGGGUCCAAAAAUAAUAGUGUGUUCUUGGUGUUCUUGGCAAAAUGAAGAACACUUGAAGAUCUAUCCAAAAAAAGAGAUUUCAUGGAUGAAAUCAUGAAUAUUCACUGGAUAUGGAAGGAUAUCAAGUUGAAAAUGGAAAUAUUACUUACAUAUUUGAAGAUUGGAAGAAAAAGUCUUAUGAGCCUUGGAAGAGAAUCCAAUUUCUAGGCUUAAAAUGGUAAAAGUGAUUUAAAAUGACUAAGUGUCAUAUAUAUACCAUAGAGUUUAUGGCCGUAAACUCCAUUUUACGGUCGUAAACUCCAAUUCUUGGAGUUUUGUGGCUAGACUAUUGUACAUUGAACUCUAGAGUAUACUUCCUAUAAUUACCUCUUGAAGGUACUAAGCUUUAGAACACUCAAACAGACUCUAAACAGUGCUAAAAGUUAGUAGAAACAAGUCUGACUUUGAUUGAAGUGAAUGGUUGUACGAAAUAGAAAUUUCGGGCAGUCACAUCAUCCCCCCGUUAGAGAGAAUUUCGUCCUGAAAUUAGAUUUUAAGCAAUUAAGUUACAAAUAACUAAGCAAAAAGAUGAGGAUACUUCAAUUUCAUUUGAUCCUCGCGCUCCCAAGUGAAUUUAGGUCCUCGCUUGGCAUAGCAGCGAACCUUUCACUAUCGAGAUACAGUUUUUGCUUCUUUUGUUUGACUUCACUAGGAUGAUACCUCUUCCUGGUCGAAUGUGUGUUGAAUGUUUUUGUAGUAUGUGAAUAUAGUACUCUUUGUACAAUACAGGUAGUGUCUCCAGAUCUUCAGAGCAAAUACCACUGCACCUAACUCAAGAUAGUGUGUUGAAUAGCUGGCUUCGAGUGUCUUAAGCUGACGGGAGACAUAGGCAAUGACCUUUCCUCUUUGUAUAAGCACACAACCAAGCCCUUGGUUGGAUGCAUCGCAUUAUACAACGAAAUCUUUUAUCCUUUCUGGGAGGGAUAAUAUCGGUGCGGUGCAUAAGGCUUGUUUCAGUGUUUGGAACGCCUUCUCUUGUUUCUCUUCCCAGUCAAAGGCCACUCCUUUCUAGGUCAGUGAAGUAACGGUUUCACAAUGCUAGAGAAGUUCUGUAUGAACCUGCGAUUGUAGUCAGUGAGACCUAAAAAUUUACGCAUUUCUAUAGGUGUCUUCGGAGCUGCCCAAUUCUCAAUGGUCUUGAUUUUGGAGGGUCCACAUGAAUUCCCUUCUUGCUAACAACGUGGCCCAAGAAUUUGACUCUUCGAAUCCAAAACUCGUACUUAGAGAACUUCGCAUAGAGUUUCUUUGAUCGUAAUGUUUCUAAUACUUUUUGUAGGUGUUGACUAUGCUCCUCUUUACUACGAGAGUAGAUAAGUAUGUCAACGUUGAAAGCAAUGACAAAUUGAUCCAAGUAAGGACGACACACCCUAUUCAUUAGAUCCAUGAAUACAUCUGGUGCAUUGGUUAAUCCGAAUGACAUCACUACAAACUCGUAGUGUCCAUAACGAGUUCGGAAGGCUGUCUUAGGGACAUCCUACUCUAGCACUCGUAACUAGCGAUUUGGCUACUGGGGUAGUCCCUCGGACUAAGUCGAUUCGGAACUCAACUUGACGUCGUGGUGGUAACCCUGGUAGUUCUCCUGGAAAGAUGUCGGGAAGGUCGUGUGCCAUUGGAAUGUUCUGAAUGUAUUUCACUUCUUGGCUCGCAUCGACGAUGUGUGCAAGGAAUGCGUGAUAUUCCUUUCACAAGCACUUCUGAGCUUGAAUACACGAAAUGAUGCGAAGGUUCAUACUUGAUUCGUUGCCGUAGAUAACUAGAGUUUCGUUGUUAGGGAGGUUAAGACGAACUGCUUUCUCAAAGCACACGAUGUCGGCUCGAUGUAGACUCAACCAACUCAUACCGAUUAUGACGUCAAAACCUUGGGGUGGAUUAGAUAUCGUGAAGAUCUAAAAGAAAGUAUGAUUACUCAUAAAUUACGGAAAAAGGAUAGGUACUUCUGUUCCAUCUGCAUCUCUUGUCCCGAUCUGCAGAAAGAGCAUUUGUUUGGCUUCUAAGUUUAUUCGCAUGACAGCACGAUCACUUGUAGUCUUUAGUAGUCUCCAUCCUGAAAUUCAUAUUAGAAAUCACACUUAGUUCAUCAAUCAUAACCUCACGUAUACGAGUCGUUUAUAAUUAAGAUUGAAAAGGCAGUUAAAUAAACAAUUCUUAUAUAAGCUCACAUCUAAACAGGGAAAAGAAGUUAAAGCGGAAUCAUCAAUUCUAAGCCUGUAGAACCUUGAUUAUGUACCACCCUUGCGUUUAUAUUCCUCAGCGAUAGAUUAACCGUAUUGGUCUUCGGAUUGAACUUGACUUACUGUACGAGUGUUAUUCUAGGGAGGUUUGCCGAGGUUACUUCGGGAACGAUACGAAACAUAAAGGCACUCUACACAUGAGUACCUCCGAGUUCUGGAACGUCGACCUUGUUAGAAAGUCGAUUAUGGGGAAAAGAAUUUUCACACAAAACUGGUACUGUGAGGAUCGAAUUGACUCAGGUCAAAUGACAAUGUCGAACUACUCAGAAUAACUGGCGUUAGACUAGUCCAGAAAGGUGUUACAAAAACACAACGAUGCAUCUUAUGAAAGAGUUUUGGUACUUUAGUUUCAACUAUGAUAAUGCUGUUGCGAACAAGGUAUACUGCAAAAAGCAAGUACAAGCAGCACGAGAGUCCCUAGAACGGAUGGGAUCUCGCAGAAUGAUACGAUUCGAGUUGUGCUAGUAGUUUAAAAGUUUUUAUAAGUCUAACUUUAUCGCUAUAGAAUGUAUUAGUAUUUCAACAUGGGUCCGAAGUAGUCUCUCCUACAUCGGUGAUCCUUAGUAUCUUCCUGUCUACGCCAGAGUUCUUUGUUAUCAGAUAAUCCUUCUUGAGGCGUCCUAUCUCAUUGCAUAUAUGACAUAUCUGGCUAGCACCAGCGUCGGUGGUGGAAGUGAUGUGCCAGGUCGGAGUUAUGUGGACACGAGCGCUUUCAUUGUCCCUCCUUUUUGGACAAUUCCUUUUAUAGUGUACGGUUUCACUACAACCAUAGCAAGUCGGGCUGACUCCGAUGCUAGUGGCCUGGAAGAUGGUUCGUGUCGGCGCUCUACAGACAUGAGCAGAGUGCCCCAUUCUGUUGCAAUUUUUACAUUGCAAUACUCGGAAAACUCUGUUAUAAUGAAAUUUACACUUGUCACACUUCGGGAGUGUUCCCUUAUACUGUUUGAUCGGUGCUGAAGUGGCAGGGGUCGCCAUUUGUUGCUGUUGCAUGGCAAGUCUUUGAGAUCGCUUGCGCUCAUUUUUGGCUUGACGCCUUCGUUUCCUAUUCUCAGAUUUGUGGACUUGGGGGUUUGUGACUACUGUCAUUUGUGGAUUUCCCGGGUUGUUACAACAAUUUGAAUUGUCAACACCUUUUCCUUCUUUGUUUGUGUUACCAGCGUUGAAUUGUGCUAGGACAGCUGUCACGGCAGCUGUUACCGCGACUUGGAAGGUAGUGGCGUCUAUAUGAAGGAUUGGGGUUUCGUCGUUUGGCUGAUUAUUUUUGGAUGACGACAUAGUUCUGUUAUAUGAUAAGAAAAUGAGUGCGUGAGUGAUUUUGGUCGGUCCUAGAUGUAUUCUACUCAUUCUUGUAAAUGUAAAUUUUUCGUUUUGUUAAACUGUUCUCUAUGGUUUGACCUACAUCCCUAUGAUGCAGUAUUGGUAAAGAGUUGAAGUAAGUUCAUAGAAGGUUCACUAGACGAUUGUCAUUCCGAACUAGGCUAUCAUUGGUUGGUGGAUAAAAUGAUCCAACCUUCGACAAGAAUUGGAAGUGAUCCUUGAGCUAAAUUACCAUAGUUCAAUAAUUUGACGAGAGCGAGAUUUAGAUAGUGUUCUAACGAAUCUGUCACAUGGAUUAGUCGGCUGUCAAUAUCAUUGAUAUUUAAGAUGUAAUAAGUUCGGGAAAAUUUGACCUUGGAGUUGGUCUUACGUCAUAUCCGAAGUAGAAAAGUUUUGACAGAACAACGGCCUAACGAAAAAGUACUUACAGUACAGGGAUAGUUACAUAGAAAAGUGCUACUUGGAACAUAGAUAGGGAGACUAUUCCUUAAACCAAAGAAAGAAAGGUAGAGUAUCUCCUACUGGUGACGGGUAUCCCUCGAGUGAACCCUUAGUUCAGCCAGCUGACGCUCCACAUCAAGUAGGUGUCUUUCGUACACCCUUUGGCGUACUCAGAGCUCUAUGACUUCGACUUGAGUUUCAACUAGUGCAUGCAGUAGGGUUACAUUGUCUCUCCUAAGAGUAAGUUCAAGAUUGCGAAUGCUAUCCGCAUUGGAAUUUGUGUCUGCCUCGAGUUCUACGGUUUGUUGAAUGGAUGCUACAUUUAAUUCAACGUUUCGAGUCAUUCUACGAACUAAAACAGGAAGAAUCCUGUCUGCGGAUCCUCCUUUGCUCACAUGAUAGAAGUUUCGGUCUCCGUUGUAUGGUAAGGGUUGGCCCUGAUCAUGGCUCCACCUUUCCAAGUACUCAGCCCACAAAGGCGUCGGGCCUUGAAAAGCCGGACGAGGGUUAAGAUUUGCGAUUGGAGCCACUCGGGGUAGAUUCUCAAAUUCUGGCUCGGAGUCAGAACCAUCCAAAAGCCUUAUGCGAGGUGAUCAUCAAAAGGGAUUGGAUGAUCCUUCUCUGGUUUUGCUUCAAUCCAUCCAACAUGGCCUUGAUUUGGGAAGUAUGGGCUGCCUUGGGGAUUGAAUCCAACCAUGUUAUCUACGCGAGAAUAAGGAUAAGGAAAUAAUUAAUAGACGUACUAAUUAGGUAAUUAUAAGAUGAUCUUUAUUAGUUACUUCAAUACUUGCAUAGUGCAUACCAGUUACAUGUAAUCAAAACAGGAUAGACCUUCAAAUAAGUGAACCUAACUCCAAUUCCUCAACCAAACAAGGAACAUGAAGUAAAGCAAAGAUCACAUAUUCUAAGUCUAUGAUAUCGUAGUCACAUAUAACCUUAGUGUGUCCACUUAGCAACUAUUAACCUACUAAUAAAGACCUUUUUAGUUCUCAGAUAAGAAUUAUAGUAACACAAAAUACUCCUAUAGUAUUUUAGGUUUAUGUUAUGUUCUAAUGUUUUUAUUGUAGUAGUGUUGGUAAGUUUUUAGGCUUGUUGCAGCCUCACAAACAUCCUUGGGCAUAUGCUAAUCACUUCUCGGACCAACAUAGUUGAUCAGGCUAUGUCAUUCCCAGAACUGACCAUACAUCCUCGAGUCUAAUUGUGAUUUUCAACAAACGUAAUACUUUUGUUUUAUCCUAGUGAGACUGAUUUUAGUAUGAAUGCAGGUAUGCAUACUUCGUUAAAUAUUUUAGUAUUUAAAAGUAUAAACUCUUGGUCAGAGCAUUUUAAUCCCGUUGUGUGUAUAGUUUGUAUAUCUUUUAUGGAUUGAUAUACUCGAUUCACUAUAAAAAAUGCUCUGAUACUAAUUUGUCACACCCAAAAACCGGAACGACGGAAACGUUCGGGGGCGGAGGACGUCAUGUACAGUAUCACAACAAAGCAUAGUAGUAAACAAGCAACAACAUCAUCCAUUGCGUUAAUAAUAUAAUUUAAUACAAGUGUGUUCUGUGAAGUUUAUAAGACACCAAAAAUGUAAAUCAAAAUAAGAGAUGAGUCUUGAACGAGCUCCAUCUUCUCAAAACCUGGCAUCUGUACCUAUCUACUGAUGACCUGAGUAUACAAGUUAUUUUUAAAGAGUUGAUCAGCUUUAAAGUUGGUUAGGUCAUAAGCAUUUUAGUGUCAUUGCUUGUAUGAAAAUGUUUGUAAGUUUUUGAUGUAUACGUUUGUAGUAAAUGUUUGUAUCUCCUAGAAAAUCCUAUAUUUUCUACUAAACAUAGCCUUCUACCAAGGCAUCAAAUGUUCUGUAUGUCUUUCUCUUGUAAGAGUGUGUAUUUCCCAAGUGUGAAUAUCAUUAACCAAAAAUAUAAUUUUUACAUUACCGUUUAUGUGAGAAGAUCACAAUGUGAAUGCAAUGGGAAAAUAAUAAAGUACUGUAGUGUUGUAUUAUAGUAACUACUGUUGUACUAACUACCUUAAAUCAAUUGUUAAUUAAGGUAUAAUUUGAUAUGAUUGCACCAUACUAUCGACUAAAAACACGACGAUGAAAGACGUCAGAAAAAAUGACAUUUGGCACCCGUAGACUUGCAAGUCCCACUGUAGCGAACAACAAGGUGUAGGAUAGUCAAUCUAGUAUAGAUCUAUACAAAAAUUUAUGCUCUCCCUCCAGGAGACUCUGGAUACAAAACGAGCCAUGGCAGUGAUGCCAUGCCCCGAAACAGUGGUUCACAUUUAUGUUAUAGUAUUCUUGUAUAUGUAUUGUAUGUACUAGUGUAAUUUAUGUUCUCUUUGUCUAGUAUGUAAUAUGUUCUCUUUGUUUCUCAUCAUAAUAUGUUCUCUUGUAUAGUGUAUAGUAUGUAUUGUUUCUCAUUAUAGUAUUCUCUAUCUGUUUCUCGGUAUAGUAUUCUCUAUCUGUUUCUCGUUAUAGUAUUCUCUAUCUGUUUCUCGUUAUAGUACGUAUUGACUCAUGUAUGAACUGACUCUUUGUAUGUUUCAUUGUACUAGAAAUAGUGAAUAGUGACUUCCUAAACUAUACCUAUUAUAGUUUAUUAGUAAUUUCUGUAGUUUGAAUGAAUGAAGGUAUGCCUUUGCUAUCCAAAGGUACUGGACUGAUUGAUAGUACUUUUAUAUCUACAUAUGUAUACAUAAUAUAUAACUGAUAUUUAAAUGACAUUCGGACAAAUAACCGAUACUCUUAGGCCACAUCCAAACAAGAAAAAGGAAAUAAAGCGAGUUAUCAGUCCUAAGUCCUUUAAACAUUACUUAUAUAACUAUACAUAUAUAGACAUGCUGUUGGGUCAAAAUAUGGUUUAUACUUUACUUUUCUGGGCAAUUGUAUUUUUUUGUAAUAUUUAUGAGUUUAUGGUCAUGUUUACGGAUGAGUUUACGACCGUAAACUCAUUUACGGCCCAUGUGUUAUCCGGCCCAUAUUCCUAGUAUAAAUAGAGGUGUUAGGGUGAGGAGUAGAUUUUGAUGAACACGAAGUAGUUUACGUCCAGAGAGAGAAAUCGUGUGUGUAAAUCUUUUGUAUCCGGAUUAUAAUUCAUAUCAAAACAUACAAGAUUCAUAUUUUUCUUCUUCUCAUUCUCUUCUAUUUUAUUUAACAUCAUCCGUUUGAUUGGGAUUCCGCACCAUCAAACGGAUCUGACUGAUACACGGGCAAAUUAGGGACUUAAAAUUGGUAUCAGAGCCAAGUUGUAUCAGUCAAAAGGUUUUAUUGUUUCGUUUGGAAUCUGAAUAGUUGGUGUUUACGGUCCAAGCUUACUACCGUAAACACCGAGUUCUUGGGCCGUAAACUCUAUUUGGAGCAAUAUUUGAUCUUAUUUUCGAAAUAUUUUUGCGUUUUUGGAUAGAUCUCGCAAAAAUAAGGGGGAGAAAUAAAAACAAAACAAAAAUUAGAAAAUUAAAAAAAAAUCCAAAAAAUAUAUUGGUUAUGAGUCUGUGUUUGAGGGAGAUGUUUUGGGAAGUGAUAUUAUCAAGUGAUAACAGGCAACCUGAGUCUGCGUAACGUACCCGAAGUUGAAGGGUCUAUGCUCUGACUUGAUGCGUCGGUAGGCAUGAAAAAUUUUAAAUGGACUUGACUAGGGAGAGUUGAACUUAGGAAAUUUGUAGACUUGACAAAUCUUGACCUAGUUAGAUACGUUCAGCCUGACAAUACGACGCUCGGAUAGGUUGAGCAGGGAGAUAUAUAUGGGAAUCUACUCGUCACAUUAAUUGAACCUGUACUUGGAACCGUGGCUUAACUUUUCCUCGAUGUGCGGAUUCUGUCCUUAAUUCCGGUUGGAUGGGGCGACUAGUAAAUUCCGAUAAAUUAGGUCUGUAGAAUAUCAUUUUCUUUCUUUCCGUCUGUUAGUCAUAUGUUGUCUCCUUUGCAUGACUUCCAAUCCGACCUGGUACACAACAUAUGCAACUCUAUUUCUCUGCAGGCUAUAUAUGUGAAAUACUUCUUAUCUGUUAGCCAUAUGACGUCUCCUUUGCGCGAAUUCUAAUCCGACCUGGUACACAUCAUAUGCAACCUUCUUCUCAACCCUUCUGAAGUAGUAAGUAAUAGAAUUCUGAAUCUCUCCUCUCUCUGAAUGGUUGUCUGCUCACCCGGUGUAAGGAGUACUCUGGAAGUUCUUGAUGGCUGGGGCAUAUCAGGAAGCGGGAAACACGUUCCAGUACACUUAAAAAUGAACUCAUAUAGAUUGUCUGUACAUCUCGCUGCUCGAUUUAGGUAGACAACAAUAUCCCUGGUUGUAGUCAGUUAAAUGGUCAUAAGGUGAAUUUAUUUAAGAUUUAGGAGUUAUCAUAAUAACAGAAAUUUACAAUUAGAUAUAUGCCUGAAUCAUGUCAUUGGUAAAAUGUCUAAAACUGUCACAAAUAUUUCGUGUUUAAGUGGACCACAAUGCUGGCAAUCGAUCAGACGAAGAUGUGAAGAUAAGGGUACCGACAAGCGGAUAAAGGCUGUCUAAAAACUUUGAUCCCAAAUCAUUCUUAAAGUUAGAUAUCAUUUUAUUUUUGUUAAAUUUGUCAUAGUUUCUUCUAAUUUAAAUAUUAGGGGAGGAUUAAAAAUUAAAUAUAAUGAAAAUAAAAAAAAUCAAAAAAAAUUCAAAAAUCAAAGAAAAAUCAAAAAAAAUUAAAAAAAAUCCAAAAAUAGUGUUAUUUCUGUUUUAUUUCUUCUUCAGAAAAAUCAAAAAAAUAUUUUUGUUUCUGUUUUAAUUUGUGUGCUAAGUUUUCUUUUAGUUUUGUUUUGUCUUGAAAAGUGAUUUCAGGUAUAGAUAAGACUCAUGGAGUUUGUGUUGAAGAUUUCUGAGCCAAAGCCUCGUCUGUGAGCAUUGAAGAAUUUGCAUUCGAAGGAGCAAGAAAUGAAGAUUAUUCUUUCAACAUUCAAUCCUUCAACCCCAGAAGCAAGGUGAAGCUGCAAUUGAAGAUUAUGUGACGGAUUGCAUUGAAGCCUCCUCAAUCAGUCUGCUGCUAUCUUUGUACCUGUUGAAGUGAUCCAGAAGAUUUGUUCUCUCUGAUGUUCUCUCUGAAGAUUCUCAAGCUGAAAGCGCUAUUUUUCAAGAAUGAGUACGUCAAGCCUCCUCACCCAAUGUGCGUUCAAUGCCAAAUUCUGAAGAAAACCUCAAGUGCUCAAGAUGAAGUCAUUCAUUGAAGAUUCAUAUGUUCAUCCUGAUGCUGUGAAGAAAUCGAAGGUUAAUGCUGAAGCCAAGUUCCCAAUGAAGAUUAUCAAGAAAGUCAACUACUUUUUAGGGGGAGUUUGCUGGGUCAUUAAGAAAAGAAAGCUAUAAACCAAGGGGGAGAUUGUUGGGUCAAAAUAUGGUUUAUACUUUACUUUUCUGGGCAAUUAUAUUUUUGUGUAAUAGUUUAUGAAUUUAUGGCCUAGUUUACGGCUGAUUUUACGGCCGUAAACACCUUACGGCCGCAAACUCAUUUACGGCCCAUGUGUUAUCCGGCCCAUAUUCAAGUAUAAAUAGAGGUGUUAGGGUGAGGAGUAGAGAUAGAUGAACACGAAGAGAGUUUACGGCCAGAGAGAAUAAGGAGCGUAUGUGUGUGAAUCGUUUGUAUAUGGAGCUUUAAUUCAUAUCAUUAAUACAAUCGAGAUUCAUAUUAUUCUUCUUCUCCUUCUCUUCUAUUUGAUCUGAAAUAAUCCAUUUGAUUGGGAUUUCGCACCAUCAAAUGGAUCUGACUGAUACACAGGCAAAUUAGGGACUUACACAUGCAUUUGACAAUAUAUAUAAGUUUAAAAAGAAGUUUUGUAAAACAUUUGAAGAUGUUAAUAAUAAAUAUUGAUGACUUGAUGUCAAUUUAUAAAGUAGUUUGGCAUAUAAGAACAAGUUUGAUGAAAAGUUUAGCAUGAAAAAGUGUUUGAUAAAUAUUUUGAAGUAGUUUCUUUGAUAAAACAGUUAAAAGUAUAGUAAAUCCAUUUGUUUGAUAGUUAUUAAUCACAUGUGAUUGAUAUAAUAACUAAAAUGUUUUAACUUGUAUUCCCCCCCCCCCAAUAAAAGCAUUUAAAAUCAUUUAAAUAGUAGAUUAAGGGGUAUGAACUCACUUGUAGUGAGUGGUUUGGAUGAAUGAGUGGUAUAGGAAGCUAAGUGCCAAUUGAAGACUUGAGCACACACACAUAUCCUAUUUAUCAUAUAAUGAUACAUAUAUGCAUCAAAUUAGUGUUUAAACAACUAAUUAUGCAAGUAAAGACACCCUAGGACAUGGAAAACACUUUGAUUCAAGUGCUAGAAGUACAUAGAGUUGCAUCUAAUGGGUGUAGGGCCUCACUUACGAGUUUACGGCUGCCCAAUGGUAAGACCACCAUGAGUUUACGGCCCAAUGAGUUUGUAACUCAUACCAUUUUGUGUGUUAAUGUCCUAUGGUCUUCCUUGAAGUGUUCUAGACUUAGUUCCAAGGCUUAGGGAGGAGUUGUGGCAACAUUGCACCAUUAAUUAGGGUUUACGGCCCAAGGAGAUUGCCUUGGCCGUAAACACCUUUUGUUCUUGAGUUCUUGAUGUUUUCUAGGUGUUUUAACAAGUGAUUCAAGUAUAUAACAAGCUAAGGGUAGUUUACUUCACUACUAGAAAAAUAGCCUUUUACGACGCGCAAAUUACGACACUCAUUAAUAUAUGUUACGCAAACGAGAGUGACAUUAAAAAAGUGUCAUCUCUUCAGAAAAUUUAAGGAUUUAGGUCACGCAUUAUUGCGUGCCUUUAAAUUAGUGUCAAAAGAAAAAAAAUUAAAAACACGGAGGGCGUUGUACCUUAAAUGCGCGCCCUCUAUAUGUGUCGCUUUAUAAUUUUAAUGAACGCGCGUUCCUUAGUUACAAGCGGGAAAAGAAAAGCCAAAAAAUUAGAAAAGCCCGCUACCCUCCCUACCCUAAGCAUUUUCACGCAUCUUUCAUUCUCCUCACACUGUUGUGCAACUUCUCAAUCAAAGAUCGAAGGUUACGAUUUCAUCUCCAUCUCUCGAAUUCAUCAUCUCAAUCAAGAAAAAGGGCUUCUGAUUUCCAUUCAUCUACUUCAUCGUUUCUGUAAUUUCACCUUCUUCAUCUCUCUGCUGUUAUUGAGAAUACUCGCCAACAGUUUUCUUAUUCCCCACUCGAUGUUGAAAUUUUCAGAAAAAGCCCUAAUUAAGUAUUAUACUCUCAAGUCUCAAUAUUAGAAUCCAAAUAUUAAUUCUCGUUUGUUUCUUAUUCCCCACAGAUAAAAAGAAAAAGGGGAAUUAGAAUGACGAAGGUAGCGGGAGUUUUGGUCCGGUGGUCGUGGUUCAUCUAUCGAGAAAGGAAGAUGGGAACGCAAGCAGCCAUGGUGGCUCGAUGAUGGAAAUCAAUCGAGAAAGGGGAAGCACCUCUGGUGCGGGAUCGAUUUGACAAAAGGAGAAGGGAGAAGCAGCGACGCUUCUCUUGUCUGCCACAGCUUGGGGGGGNNNNNNNNNNNNNNNNNNNNNNNNNNNNNNNNNNNNNNNNNNNNNNNNNNNNNNNNNNNNNNNNNNNNNNNNNNNNNNNNNNNNNNNNNNNNNNNNNNNNNNNNNNNNNNNNNNNNNNNNNNNNNNNNNNNNNNNNNNNNNNNNNNNNNNNNNNNNNNNNNNNNNNNNNNNNNNNNNNNNNNNNNNNNNNNNNNNNNNNNNNNNNNNNNNNNNNNNNNNNNNNNNNNNNNNNNNNNNNNNNNNNNNNNNNNNNNNNNNNNNNNNNNNNNNNNNNNNNNNNNNNNNNNNNNNNNNNNNNNNNNNNNNNNNNNNNNNNNNNNNNNNNNNNNNNNNNNNNNNNNNNNNNNNNNNNNNNNNNNNNNNNNNNNNNNNNNNNNNNNNNNNNNNNNNNNNNNNNNNNNNNNNNNNNNNNNNNNNNNNNNNNNNNNNNNNNNNNNNNNNNNNNNNNNNNNNNNNNNNNNNNNNNNNNNNNNNNNNNNNNNNNNNNNNNNNNNNNNNNNNNNNNNNNNNNNNNNNNNNNNNNNNNNNNNNNNNNNNNNNNNNNNNNNNNNNNNNNNNNNNNNNNNNNNNNNNNNNNNNNNNNNNNNNNNNNNNNNNNNNNNNNNNNNNNNNNNNNNNNNNNNNNNNNNNNNNNNNNNNNNNNNNNNNNNNNNNNNNNNNNNNNNNNNNNNNNNNNNNNNNNNNNNNNNNNNNNNNNNNNNNNNNNNNNNNNNNNNNNNNNNNNNNNNNNNNNNNNNNNNNNNNNNNNNNNNNNNNNNNNNNNNNNNNNNNNNNNNNNNNNNNNNNNNNNNNNNNNNNNNNNNNNNNNNNNNNNNNNNNNNNNNNNNNNNNNNNNNNNNNNNNNNNNNNNNNNNNNNNNNNNNNNNNNNNNNNNNNNNNNNNNNNNNNNNNNNNNNNNNNNNNNNNNNNNNNNNNNNNNNNNNNNNNNNNNNNNNNNNNNNNNNNNNNNNNNNNNNNNNNNNNNNNNNNNNNNNNNNNNNNNNNNNNNNNNNNNNNNNNNNNNNNNNNNNNNNNNNNNNNNNNNNNNNNNNNNNNNNNNNNNNNNNNNNNNNNNNNNNNNNNNNNNNNNNNNNNNNNNNNNNNNNNNNNNNNNNNNNNNNNNNNNNNNNNNNNNNNNNNNNNNNNNNNNNNNNNNNNNNNNNNNNNNNNNNNNNNNNNNNNNNNNNNNNNNNNNNNNNNNNNNNNNNNNNNNNNNNNNNNNNNNNNNNNNNNNNNNNNNNNNNNNNNNNNNNNNNNNNNNNNNNNNNNNNNNNNNNNNNNNNNNNNNNNNNNNNNNNNNNNNNNNNNNNNNNNNNNNNNNNNNNNNNNNNNNNNNNNNNNNNNNNNNNNNNNNNNNNNNNNNNNNNNNNNNNNNNNNNNNNNNNNNNNNNNNNNNNNNNNNNNNNNNNNNNNNNNNNNNNNNNNNNNNNNNNNNNNNNNNNNNNNNNNNNNNNNNNNNNNNNNNNNNNNNNNNNNNNNNNNNNNNNNNNNNNNNNNNNNNNNNNNNNNNNNNNNNNNNNNNNNNNNNNNNNNNNNNNNNNNNNNNNNNNNNNNNNNNNNNNNNNNNNNNNNNNNNNNNNNNNNNNNNNNNNNNNNNNNNNNNNNNNNNNNNNNNNNNNNNNNNNNNNNNNNNNNNNNNNNNNNNNNNNNNNNNNNNNNNNNNNNNNNNNNNNNNNNNNNNNNNNNNNNNNNNNNNNNNNNNNNNNNNNNNNNNNNNNNNNNNNNNNNNNNNNNNNNNNNNNNNNNNNNNNNNNNNNNNNNNNNNNNNNNNNNNNNNNNNNNNNNNNNNNNNNNNNNNNNNNNNNNNNNNNNNNNNNNNNNNNNNNNNNNNNNNNNNNNNNNNNNNNNNNNNNNNNNNNNNNNNNNNNNNNNNNNNNNNNNNNNNNNNNNNNNNNNNNNNNNNNNNNNNNNNNNNNNNNNNNNNNNNNNNNNNNNNNNNNNNNNNNNNNNNNNNNNNNNNNNNNNNNNNNNNNNNNNNNNNNNNNNNNNNNNNNNNNNNNNNNNNNNNNNNNNNNNNNNNNNNNNNNNNNNNNNNNNNNNNNNNNNNNNNNNNNNNNNNNNNNNNNNNNNNNNNNNNNNNNNNNNNNNNNNNNNNNNNNNNNNNNNNNNNNNNNNNNNNNNNNNNNNNNNNNNNNNNNNNNNNNNNNNNNNNNNNNNNNNNNNNNNNNNNNNNNNNNNNNNNNNNNNNNNNNNNNNNNNNNNNNNNNNNNNNNNNNNNNNNNNNNNNNNNNNNNNNNNNNNNNNNNNNNNNNNNNNNNNNNNNNNNNNNNNNNNNNNNNNNNNNNNNNNNNNNNNNNNNNNNNNNNNAAAAAAACAACCAGUUGAAGGGUAAAAAUGUCAAAAAGGGUCCCAAAAGUUUCCAAAACAGAAUACCAGUUGCCCUUCAUCAUCCUGAUGAGGUACAUAUCCAUUUCUAUGAAUAUUCCCAAUUUUGUUUUAUCGAGUAAAUUAAAUGUUUGGUCUCUGAAUAUGGCUUAUUUUUUCAAUUUGGUCCCAAAAGUUUUCUCUUGCAGUUUUGGUCAUCCUUUGAGGUUCUUAUAACUUUUUUGAUCCUUGUUCCAAGUAAUACCUGAUUGUUUUCAACUUUGGCCCUAAAAAUAUAGUCAUUUUCUUGAAACAGAUACCAAAAACUUCAAAUAAGACCAAAAUUGCAAAAAUUAGGGGACCAAAAAUAUAAUUAAUUGUUGUUUGUUUUGUUAUUAAAUGCAUUUCAGGGGGAUUUGGGGUAUAUAUACCUUGAUUUAAAUUGUAGACAGGGGAAGUAUCCUGGUUGUGCUCAUUUUGCCAUAAGAGGAGGGCGUACAAUUUCCAAAACAGAAUACCAGUUGCCAGUAAGUUGUUAUUACAGUAUAUUUUGUUUUGUUCAUCAAGGGCAAAUUGCAGGAAUUAUUAUUGUAUUCCAUUACCAAGAAUAGAAAAAAAGUGAUGAAAUGUUUUUGUUGAUUAUUAUUGUGAAGGUGAUUGUCGUUGUUUGCAACUUCUCAAAGCCCCAUAAUUCAUCAAUCGUGAGACUUAACCACUCUGAUGUGGAUACCCUUUUCCAUGAAUUUGGGCAUGCUCUUCAUUCCUUGCUUUCAUGAACAGUAAGUGUUGCACCAUUUUUUAAAGACUUGAUUAAAUUAAUCAAUCUUUGGUACUAUUUUUAUUGUAUUAUGAAUUGGUUGAUCAAAAACUGUAUAGUGAUAGAUUGAAAAGCUUGUUUAUCCAUUUCAAAAUUUCACCAAAAUUGACAUGAAAUUCUAUAACUCUCGAGAUAUUAAUUGUGGUACAUAGGGAAAUUCUUGAUUUUAAUUGAUAACAAAUGCAUAUACAUUAAGGCUGAAUGCAAGAAACACAACGUACAUAGGGAAAUUCUUGAUUUUAUAAAAUGUGUGUUGUCUCAUCAGGCACUUGUUGUGUUGGUUCAUGAUAUGGGUCCAACCGGGAGCUUAUAAGUGAUGCCAUUAACAGCACUUUGCAAUUCAAGGUAACUAUCAUAUCUGUUGUGUUGUGUUGGUUCAUGAUGUACAUCAUUCAACCCCAGACCGUAUUUCAAGUUAUUCAUUAAUUGGUUAUAUUGAACUUUGGAUUCUUGGAAAAAUGUAUGUUACUACAUGUGUAUUAAAUUUUAAGAUUUUAUAACAUAGAUUGAUGAUGCUUCAAGCCUUUCUGAAUACUAAUGUGUUGACGAUGAAAAUAGGUAUCAUGUGGAAACAGAAACAUAACAAUAAGAAGUAGAAAGAAGAAGGUGUUCCUUAAUAACAAUGUAGUAUUAGGUUAUAUAGUUAGGAAAACCUCUUUCAAUGGAACGAUUAUUUGUAUGACAUUAAAUUGAUGCAAUGGAUUCUAUUUUUUGNCUAUUUUAUUUCUAUUAUGAGAAAUUAAAUGCAAAUUUAAUUUGAAAAUUAAUAAAUAUAUAAAUAUAUUUUUUUAAAACAUUUAAAUUUACGAUACGCAAAAAUGUGUGUCAUCUUCAUUUAUGACAUGGCCUUUCUUGACAGGGGCUUUCUUGAUACGCAUUGCGUGUCAUUAACGCGCGCGUCGUAAGGUUACGACACGCGAAUGCUUGUCAUCUUCCUUUAUGACAGGGCCUUCCUCGAUACACAAUGCGUGUCGUAACCGCGCGUCGUAAAUGCGCGUCAUAAAUGCGUGUCGUAAAUGCGCGUCGUCUCUCUUUAUGACAGGGCCUUCCUUGACACGCAUUUGCGCGUCGUCUGAGCGUUUUACGACGCGCAAUGAGCGUCGUAAAAGGCCUUUUUUCUAGUAGUGCUUACAUAUUAGAAUCUUGUAAGGGUGAUUAGGGUCCAAAAACACUAGUGUGUUCUUGGCAAAAUGAAGAACACUUGAAGAUCUAUCCAAAAGAAGAGAUUUCAUGGAUGAAAUCAUGCAUAUUCACUAGAUAUGGAAGGAUAUCAAGUUGAAAAUGGGAAGAUUACUUACAUAUUUGAAGAUUGGAAGAAAAAGUCUUAUGAUCCUUGGGAGAGAAUUCGAUUUCUAGGCUUGAAAUGGUAAAAGUGAUUGAAAAUGACUAAGUGUCCUAUNNNNNNNNNNNNNNNNNNNNNNNNNNNNNNNNNNNNNNNNNNNNNNNNNNNNNNNNNNNNNCUGAGGCUAGAAUAUUGUACAUUGAACUCUAAAGUAUACUUCCUAUAAUUACCUCUUGAAGGUACUAGGCUUUAGAACACUCAAAUAGACUCUAAACAGUGCUAAAAGUUAGCAGAAACAAGUCUGACUUUGAUUGAAGUGAAUGGUUGUACAAGAUAGAAAUUUCGGGUUGUCACAAAGCCCUAUGCUUCUAGCGACACACCCCGACCCAAAACCUCUCGAAUAAAAACUCGAAACCCAUAAAAGACCAAACGCCCCUAGCCUUGGCUUCUGAAAUCCAUAAACGGGAACUUUCAGAAUUGUGUGUUACAACUCUCCCCCACUUAAACUAGACUUAGUCCUCGAAGUCCGCUACGACCAACUAUCCUACAAUCUGCUCACAACAUUCCUGCCCGAUGCACACAUCACCCGCUGGUUUCGAUCCCCGAAGAACCACUUCCAUUGACUUUCCGCAAAAUAGUUCAAAAAGAUAAGAACCUCGAGAGCACUUAUAAUCACCAACAAUCCUGAGCGCACGACUCUUACCCUACUGACAAUCCUUUUGGUACUUCCCGAGUACUUAUGCUACACAUUCUGGGGGUUCACCUCUUUCUCUUGCUCGAUCAAUGGCCUUCCCAAGGUAGCUUCCCAAAAACAACAAUUUUUCCUUUCUCUGUGAAGGACAUAACCUUCGCUGUAUCUACUUCUCUAGCCACUCCCAGUGUUGUUACUUCACUGAUACCCACUGAAUGUUUCCUCUUACUAUAUGCCGGUGCUAAAAACCUAUCCCAACGAAUGGAUCAGAUAAUCCUUCGAGUAAAAUACUCAUCCCUGCAAUGGUUAGACUUAAACGAGAGCUGCACAGCAGAGUCAAAUUACUCACUCUGAGAUUAUUUAAUCCUGCUGUUAGUGGCAUUAGCACCACUUAGUCAACUAACUACUUCCACAUAUAAUCCUCUUAUCACUGUCCUCGACCGAAGGUCCUGCUAUCUCCUGUCCGCUUUUCGGACGAACCGAGACAACCCUGGUCCCAACUAAUCUUCCAUAAUCUGGGUUACCGGACUCCCACCGGUUACGGAACCCAAGCUCAAUUGCUCAGUCUCUCUCGGCGACUUCCGAAGAAAACUCCGGCUAACGAAAACUGCUCUAUAUCCUUACCACUUUGACUUCAUAAGUCCUGGGAUCCUUGAUCCCCUAUAUUGACUCUAAGAUCUCUACCAGGUCCCACCUGUGCGGCUAAAAUCUCUCGGGCCUCGCCCACGGGUCUCACCCAAACUAUAUCUUAGAGCGGUCUCUCCUUCAAGUCUCACUUGUCUUGCUACUAUCGUAAGGGCCUCGCCUACGGGUCCCACCCAAACCAUACUACUGAGUGACCCUUCCCCCGAUCUCACCUAUCUAGGGCUAAAUGGGUCCUAAACCAUCCUAAAUCCUCAACGUACUAUCCUUUCUUUGUCUCUAUCAGGAUGACUAGGAGAUACGGGCCUCGCCCGCACUCCGCUAACUAGGAGAUAUGAGCCCUCACCCACACUCCUCUAACUGGCUAUUAAAAAUGUCGCGGCUAUCUCGUAGUCUUACCACACUUCCCAUGUUGUGUUUACACUGACUACUAUCCGAAAGCAUCCCAUGCCGGACAUUCACUCAAUCUGUAUCUUGACUCACUUGAGUCCUGCUGGCGAUCCUCCAACCUGGUUUCCGAAACCAGCCAUCAGCUAAUCAUGAAUAUACGAACUCAAUGUUGGGAAGUUUCCUAAACUCCCAGCUCACGUGCUCCUCAAUCCGACCAGCCACUUGGGCUACUUUCCUUCUCCUCAAGGAUGCACACUUAUCCCAAUUUUGUACUUACUUCUGCUCCUGACUACUCGGAAGGUUCUCUCCCACUUCGAUUCAAGUAGAUCCCUACAGAUCCCAGCUUGGAAAGGAUUCCCAAUCCUUUUCUCCAUCUAAAGGUCAAUCUGCUAACAACCACGCUUUCCACCGCUAGAGCUCCAAAGCUAACCAAUACCAAACCCGAACCACUAUUGCAGACUAACGAAAUGCCUCUUGAUCCCUAGUCACACUUGCUACAGUGACUGCAUCCUGAGAACCUGUUCUAAAGGGAAACAUCUUCGAACUACUACUCUCACAUUCACAAUAUGCAGAUGGCAUAUAACUCAUUCAUAGGUAGGAAACAUAAUAUUUUGAAAUACGCUUACUAACAUUGAUGCAAUACCAUAACAACAAAAUCAUCACUGAAAGGAGAAUUCAAAUUACAUACUAGCAGCCUAUUGCGGCUCGAUCUUGACUUCCUGAGGAAUCAUGGGCGUUGGAACCUGAACUCCCUCUCUCUGUCGAAGUCUCUGCAAUGAAUCCUGAGCUACCUUAACCACUAUACGGGGGAAAUUUGCCCUGAAAUGACUAGGUUGAUGGCAACCGAGACAUAACUCUUCCGUCGAUGUGCAUUCUCGGCAGAGGUGACCCUUCCAUCCACACCUACCAUACUGCGACCUGCUGUGAACCUUCUCAUGCGCCCCUUCAUCCCUUGCACUUCCAUCACGACCACUCAGGUCUCUAGUGUCAACUAUAGCAGUGUACGACUGCUCAGAUUGCUGAGCCUAACUAGAAGUGUGCUUUCUCUUCCCUAGCUGCACAUCUAAACCAAUCUCUUGCUCCCGAGUUACCCCGACUACCCCAUCAA